rnacentral:lncRNA from 1 species
AACGUUACUUCUUGCUGGAUCUGGAUCGCAAUAUCAAGUUGCUUUCCUGCAGCACCUACAUGGCCACAUUUGCACUAACUUUGUUCACUGCUUGGUUUGACUGAGCUGUUCAAGAAAAAGGAAAGAUGAAUGCGUUUAAAAUCUACGAGUUGCCUUAGUAAGAAAGUUCCUCCUUCUCGCUAUAGAAAUGAUCUUUAAGACAACCUAUCCGUUUCGGUUUUGAAGAAGACAGGAAUGAGUCAGUGCCAGGUGUCCCCGGUCGUGAUACACUAACCAACCAACUUAACCUAUAGCGCUCAAUCAAAUGAAGUUUUGAUUUCCCAUAUGGAUAAAAAGCUACCUUCAAUCCAUAGUGCCAUCUUUCUCUUAAAAUGACAUUAGUUAUGCUUUCUUCAAGAUCGAGAUCAUCUAAGACCUACGUCUGAUCCCGUCCAAUAGCAGGUUUAGUGAGCACCACAAACCAAUCCACCUACUUUGAUAGCAUAAAAUCGUUCGGGGAUUUUAAUGUAAAAACACCUGCGCAGAGCUUGGAGAGCAGAGCACUCAGGUGCGAUGGGUUGAUUGAUUCCAUAGUAGGUUUCUGAGUUCAUCAGGUGUGCUCGUGCCUGAAAUGCUUUUCACAAGAAGCUAGUCAGAAAAAGGGGCACGCAGCUAUGCGAUUCUAACUGCUCUUGGUUUUGUAACUCACUGCUCUUGGUUUUCUACGUGGGAGUUGGUCCGGAUAACAUAUCUUAACGAGGGAUAUAAAAGGGCGAAGGUCAAUGAAAUGGGGUCCUUAUAGGUAUCUGCCCAUGUUCAAUCACUGAAGUAAUGAAUCUAAACAAGAAAACGAAGUAGAAGUGAAAAGCUUUUCUAAUAUAUUUUUAUAUCUCUUUGCUCAGUUUUCCCCUUUAAUGUCCCUCUCCAUUAUUAUUCAUAGUAAUGUGCUCCUCGCUGAGCUUUAUGAUUUCCAUUGUCAUUCUUCCCUCUCCUCUCUGAUUGCUUUUCAUCGUCUCUUUGCGUUUACCCUAUUUUCAUGACUCUCCUCUCUUUCUUCUCCCCGUACCAUUAUUUUGAUCGUUUCUGAAUCUUGAGAUUGCUUCAAUGCAUGUGAUCCCUCUCCUCAGCCUUCCCCUCCUAAAUCUUAGAAUCCUAAUGCCGUAGGUGCUAUGUCGGAAAUCCAUUUUUUUUAUCCUCUGCCCCAAGGAAAAUCAAAGAAGAAGAAAGCCCUGGUAUUCUCUACUUGAAUUCAGGAAGAUUCAGAUACCGAAAGCAAUAGGAAUGGGAAAGCGGAGCGGGCAAUAGGUUUAUGACUGAGCACUAGAGCCUGGAAUAGCAGGAGGUUGGGAAAUAUGCCAUGCAGAAUUCCAAUAAGUUGGCACUGCUUUCCCUUUCCAUAUGAAAAACGGAGAGGAAAAGCAUGGGUGGACCAAGCGUUUUAACCGGAAUCUAGUGACGGAGAAAGAAGAAAGAUUUUUAAGCGCUAGAUAGGGUCACAAUUCAAUAAAGAUACUUGGCUGGAUGGCGAAGCUGUGUUUGCUCUCCCAAAUCGAGAUCAAAGUCUUGCUUGACAGCGUGAGGAACUUUGAAUGCUCCGUACAAAGGGUCAUAGGGAGCUUUUGGAGGUCAGGGAGAAGUGUGUGUGGCCACUGUGCGCAAGCAUUCUGUACAGCGAUCUUGCUGAGGAGGUCCCCGGUCCCACCUCCAUAAAGAAGAUCUGGUGACUGCCCAUUGUCUUGUUUUGGCUUGGAAGUCUCCUCAAAAUAAGGCAAGUGAGUCAACAAUCUCUGUAAGAGGAAUUGGAAGAUGGGGGUUCCAUGGCGCACUGAGAUGAAAGGCUGUCUUGGACGUGCGGCCCCUUAUCCCUAUCCCUUUGUUGAUGAAUCCCAUGCAACGCGCCCUUGCUUGGAUGAAAAAAUGUCAUAAGGGGGACUCGUUUCACUUGAUUCGUUCCGUCGCACCCGCACUAUUCCUAAAUUUAUUUUCUGUUUCUAUUUUGAAAAAAAGGUCGAACUCAUUUCGUAUAGAAAGAAAGAUGUGUCGGGUUUGGAUCGAGUGACACAGGAGGUGCUUCUGCGUGGCACUCUUUUUAAUGGGCUUUACCGUCUUUCUUUACCUUCAGAACACAAAGCUUUGCUUGGCGAAAUAACUCCUGCCUAUAUUUGGCAUCUCAUCUACUUAAUUUAAUGACAUUCCAUAUCUCAGGAAGGAAAAAAAGCGAAUGGAAUUUCACUCAAGUCUUUUUUUCUGCUUUAUCCUUCUCUCAAUCAAAGAAAGGGAAUGCAGAUGUUCUGUCGCCCUCUCUUCAUAUGCCACCAGCCUUCCUCUCAAAACCAUACUGAUCCGAUCUUGUGCAGAUAGGUAGGGACGAUCCCUCCAGUAACCAUGCCUAAAAUCAUAAGCUGACCCAUUACUUCUGUAGGUGCCUCAAUUCUUCCCAUUUUCCUACUUAUAUAACUCUUUGGGGUCCAUACCGCACUUGGGGACGGGAUAUGAUUGCUUUCUUAAACAAACCUUUUAGAGCGUUGUCAUCUUACCAGCACAGGACUCAAUAGUAAGGACUGUCACUGCAUUGAUAUCGCUCAUGGAUCGUGUUAUACUUGGGAAGAUCCGGCCCAAGGGGAAGUCUGUUAUCCACAACCCAACCUUAGAUGAGGGAGAAGUUCACGCUUGAUCUUCGACCCAAGACAAUGGAAGGGAGCUAAAGCCUUCUUCCUUUUUCAAAUUCGUUUAUAUGGAGAAAAAAGAGGUCGUGGCAUACCAUUUAUUCCGCCAAGAAGCAUUCGUCUACGGCACUUAGAACGCCUCGACACAUUUGUACUCACGCCUAGGACGGUCUUUCACACGGAAGUAAGAUUAGAGAGUUUGAUCAUAGUUUGACCGUAGUAAAAAAGAAGUCCCUUUCUCAUUUGCUUCCUGGUCAUCUCUAUAGAGAUAGAAGAAAGAAGUCCCAAGCAAGGGUCAUGCUAUUUCUAUUCUUUUCACUAUUGUUAUUCCCUAUUUCCUUAACUGAUCUUGAGUUGUACCGAAACAACAGAAAUAUGGUCUCUCAUAAAUUGAUUUCUUUCAUCACUGUUCUUAAAUCAAUCCGUGUCAGGUACAGAGCCAAUCUUCACAUCCCAUAGGUAAAACAAGUCGCUUUAUGGGCUCCUCGUGAAACUACAACCUUUCUGAAGCCCUAGUCAAAAAGUUGUGCGAAACCUCAAUUGGUAAGAGGAGUAAACACCUAUUCUUUGGCCAUUCAAAACAUCGAAUUGGUUGGCUCGCUCAACCUCUCGAACCGGGACAAAACUUCCCAGCGUUGCAUUCACCGCCUAGCCUCGUCCAACAUGACUGUAAGGCACGUUUUGCAUGCCUUUAAAGUGUACCCCCUCGGAGGUAUCAAAAAGUGCGAGAAACCGCAUUGAUGACUAAUAAAGUAGGGUUUUCACUCGUGUGGGUUCGCCCACCUUCCCUUCAGCAGCUCUCCCUGGACACCCUAUACUAAACUGAGGAAUUACUUAAGCUCCUGGCUUUUUUUCCGACAACUCAAAGCCGCUGCACCGACAGAUAACAUGCCGUGGAUCUUAUGUGGCGCUAAAACUUCAUGAUAGAUCAAAUCCUGAUUACGACUGGAGAGGGACGUUGAUGUUCCAAACAUUGGGUUCAAGAGCUCGGUUUGAUAGACAUAAACCUCAGUGAUCGGCUUUACACCAGGAAGGAGCAAUGAGAUAAACUCACCCCCCAUGGCGAGACUAGACAGAUUCAUGGCCUCCUGCUUGAACAUUGUCCCAAAAACAACGGUCACACCCUUGCCAAACACCUCCUCAGCUGACGAUAAUAUAUCGGACAUUGGACUGCAGGGCCUUAGUUGGCCAAGUAUGUUUUGUAUAUAAGGAUCCAUGGUCUUAUCAAACUCCAAUUACCAAAUGGUACAUACAGGAGUUGUUGCAUAAAAGGAAGUACCAUUGCCACCAGUGAUCUUUAAAAGUGAUAAACUAAACUCAUCACAUUAGGAGAAUCCUCUAAACUUAAUAUAAUAGGCUCACUUUAUCACUAUAAACUUUUUAGUGAUGACCAAAUAACGAAAACACUUCGUUGAAUGACGUGUUGUUAAAGAAAAUAGCUGCGUCGCCCCCCUUCAAGACAGGAAACUAUAGACAGGUACCUGAGGUGCCCUGCUGAGAGAAGAAUUUGUCAACAAUCAAGCACUUGAGCUUGCAAGAAUAAAUAUAUGAUGUCUAUGCUAUUAUUGGGAUAAAAUGAAUCAAAAAAGCAGCAGAAUACGAGAAGGAUUUCUUUUCUUAAAGGGUGUAUACAUUAGAGUGUACCUGCUUGGUAGGCAUGAAAUCACUGACAAAGAGUUGCCUAGCUCCGAUGAGCUUGCAAGCAUAAUUUGGAAUUUCAUAGAAGCGGGCAUAGCUAGGGGUGAACCACGAGAAGUUAGAGCAAUUAAUGGGUAGGUAUCGUAAACAUCCUGAGUGUAUCACGGCAUUGAAGCAGAAGAAACAGAAAUGUUUUCCUUUCUUUCGCAUUUGAUUUGCAUGCCCCCUGUAGAUUUGACCCGGAGCCAAUGCCAGUCUUUUUUGCGAUCAAAUGCACUUGAGCUAGUCACUAAGUAAGGCGACAGCACCAAAAGAUGUGCAUGUGUCAUUAGGCCAUUGGAUUACUCAACAAAAAGUGAAGUGCCAAACGAUGAAGAAGAACACUUGAAACCAGGCACUGAACCCUAAAUGCUUCGCCUGGCUAACCAGAUAGAUUACUUCUAUCUGCUAGCUUGCCCUAAGAAAAACAACAGUUCCACAGAUAUCUCCAGUGCUUUUCUAUUCGAAACACAAGGGCGCUAAGCAAAGAGAAUUUCAAUUAACGAACAGUAGGUGCUUUUUCUUCCUUGGCCCAUCUCAGUGAUAUGUAGGCUCUCAGCCCUUACUUGAAUCAUCCGUCCUCCCUACAGAAAGAAAGCGAUUUUAUGCCCUCCCGAAGGAAAACGUUUGGGCCGGCUGGAGCUCGACACGGAGCAAAAUGUAGAUGAUCUCCGCAAAUGGGCGAGGUAGGAGGACGUGGUUGGAAGUUUUUUGACAGGAGGCCUUGCGCAAAAGACGAGUACUUCAGAGCCCACCAGGAAAAGGAUAUUGGUUCGCAUCUCUAUAUUGAUCCGCGGCGCUUCUAUGAAGUUUUCCUUGUCUCCGAUUUCAAAGCUGAAUGGAUGACUGAAUCUGUCGAAGCAUCAUUCGAUAUUUGCAGAUUGACGUAAUGCUAUGAGGAGUUAGAGUCUUCUGCGGGAAAGACAUUUCUUGUAGAGUUUUGUAGAUCUUUUUGCUCUACUUUUUCUAGUAUUCCUUACAUAAGAUCUCGGAAGAGCCGAUGUUUCCUUCCGUUCCCGGUAAAUAGGAAUUCUAUAUCCUCUAGCUCUUCGUGACCUGUUGUGUCUGCCCUCGACUUAGCCGUCAUAGAAUAGAAAGGUUUCUAACCGUUGAAAAGGAUACUUCUAAACGUUAAGGGGCGCUCAACCUUCCACUCAAAUCCUUUUUACCAGAAGGGAGCUCGCCUGCCAUGACAUAUAAGGGAAAAGGCAAUGUGUGGAACUAGAUCAAGUUUGAUCUGCCACUUACACUGGAAGGGCAAGAACUAAUGCUUAUGCGUAUUCUUCCACGGCAUAUAGAAGGUUAACUACUCCAACUCGAUGGCUGAGAGAAAAGUGAAAUCCUAGCUUUCCCUAGAAUCAGCUCUUUACUAUCCUGCCCCAGGGGGUUUUUCGGAGACAUUGAACCCUAGAUUUAGAAGCUUUCCCAAACAAACCUUUUGACCAGGAAAAGGCAUACCAAAGAUUUUUGGAAAGACACAUUGAAAUGGAAGCUCUCGAACCUAUUCCGAAGUAAGUUUAGGAUGAGGUUUCCGAUCCGGUUGGUGUUCCGACAUCCCGAAUCGAGGUGGCUCUAAACUCAGGUUUGCCUACCUCUCUAGUUACAGAGGGAGGAGAGGGGCUUCGUCUUUUUAGGUCUCUGAAAAGCCAGUUGACAUGUGCGAUCCAAUCAAGGAGGCAGUACUUCUGCCUGAGUUCCUCUGGAUCCUACUCGUCGGGAUUACCGUGCUCCCGCAGGUUGUUCACCAUGCGUUCCAUAGCACUUUGACUUUAUAUCUUUUACCAUCUUGGAAUCAUGUAGAUGUAGAUUGCUUUCAUCGCAGGGUCAUUCCUGAAUGUGGCUUGUACCAGCUCUUCGUCAUCAUAAAUAGAAGUGGUAUUACCAGCCAUUCUGGAGGAGCAGUUGAUUUAGCAAUUUUUAGUCUUCAUCUAUCAGGUAUUUCAUCAAUUUUAGGUUCUAUCAAUUUUAUAACAACUAUCUUCAACAUGCGUGGACCUAGAAUGACUAUGCAUAGAUUACCACUUUUUGUGUGGUCCGUUCUAGUGACAACAUUCCUACUUUUAUUAUCACUUCCGGUACUGGCGGGGGCAAUUACAAUGUUAUUAACCGAUCGAAACUUUAAUACAACCUUUUUUGAUUCUGCAGGAGGGGGAGACCCAAUAUUAUACCAGCAUCUCUUUUGGUUCUUCGGUCAUCCAGAGGUGUAUAUUCUCAUUCUGCCUGGAUUUGGUAUUAUUAGUCAUAUCGUAUCGACCUUUUCAAGAAAACCGGUCUUCGGGUAUCUAGGCAUGGUUUAUGCCAUGAUAAGUAUAGGUGUUCUUGGAUUUCUAGUUUGGGCUCAUCAUAUGUUUACUGUGGGCUUAGACGUUGAUACGCGUGCCUACUUCACCGCAGCUACCAUGAUCAUAGCUGUGCCCACAGGAAUCAAAAUCUUUAGUUGGAUCGCUACCAUGUGGGGAGGUUCGAUACAAUACAAAACACCCAUGUUAUUUGCUGUAGGGUUCAUCUUUUUGUUCACCAUAGGAGGGCUCACUGGAAUAGUUCUAGCAAACUCUGGGCUAGACAUUGCUCUACAUGAUACUUAUUAUGUGGUUGCACAUUUCCAUUAUGUACUUUCUAUGGGAGCCGUUUUUGCUUUAUUUGCUGGAUUUUACUAUUGGGUGGGUAAAAUCUUUGGUCGGACAUAUCCUGAAACUUUAGGCCAAAUCCAUUUUUGGAUCACUUUUUUCGGGGUUAAUCUGACCUUCUUUCCCAUGCAUUUCUUAGGGCUUUCGGGUAUGCCACGUCGCAUUCCAGAUUAUCCAGAUGCUUACGCCGGAUGGAAUGCUCUGAGCAGUUUCGGUUCUUAUAUAUCCGUAGUUGGGAUUCGUCGUUUCUUCGUAGUUGUCGCAAUCACUUCGAGCAGUCUUCUUCAUCUGGCCGCAUUGCAUCAAUAUGGAUCAAAUAAUCCAUUGGAUGUACAUUCUGAGAUGGAUAAAAUUGCUUCUUACUCUUAUUUUUAUGUAAAGGAUCUUGUAGGUUGGGCUAUCUUUUUGUCCAUUUCCUUUCGGUGGUUUUUGGUUCUAUGGAAAAUUUGCUCCAUUCUUUGGACAAUUAUGGAACUGGUCGCUCCCGGCAUCUUUGGUUACUCUGUGCCCAUGGAAUGCUUCCACGUUUUUCCCCCACUGCCUCCGGUAGAACCCGCGGAAAUAACCUCUUCCUUUAAGGAAAAUACAUCCUCCAUGGAUAGGCUGAUGUCGGUCUUGGGGGAAACUAGUGUUUCCACAGGUGAACCCUCCGUUAACCAACUCGAAAGAGAUAGUUAUACGGAACAACGCCACCUGUGUAUAAGUGCUAUCCGAGCUGAAAUGCUUGAGCAAUACAAGAAGGACGUUGGCAAGCGUCACUUCUUAAUGCAUAUUGCUUUUUUUGUGUACAAAGUAUACAAUCAGGGGAGGAUGGAAUCCGAUCUUGAUUCCAUCUGUCACCAUUUUGAGAUCGAAGAGUCCUCAUUGCAGGAUCUCGAAGAAUUUCUACAGGAUAUAAAGCGCAAUAAAAAAAUAUUGCGAGAUUUUUUUUUAAGGAAAUGGCCAUAGGAAGCAAGCAAGUUUUUCAUAUAGUUGUUUUUGUGUAGUGAUCUCUGUUCAUGGAGAUCACGAGGCCACUGAUACCCGAAGUGGUUAGGUGGGAUAGAAGAGAGGGAAAGCGGGCUUCUAUCACAUAGUUCUCUUUCAGGGUACAUAGGACGGCCCUCUCGUCAUUACCUUUUGUGCUUACCCGUAGCUAGCUGUGCCUGAAGUCAUGGAUGAUGCUAUUCCCACUGAGAGAUGUGCUGCAAAAUGGAAGCUGUGUUAGUCCUCGGCUAAAAUCAUCUUCCUUUAUUAAAGACCAUAUAUAUCCAUAUGUAGAUAGAAGAGGGGAUAUAGUCGUUCAAAGCUAAGGUGAGUCUGUUCCAGCUAAUUCCUCAGAUUCCACUUUCCUGUCUGUCCAUGUAAAAAGGAGUCCAGCCCACAAGGAGAGGGAAUCCACAAUAAUAUCUAUUUUAGAUGCUUUCUACUAUGUUUCAAGUGAUCAAAGAAUAGUAUCUUUAGACAGAACUGAAAUAGCAGAUGCAGAUUCGAAUGUUAAGGUUAUUAAAGCUUAAAAGAAAAAGCAGUCAUAGGUUAGGUGACUAAGAAAAGAAUGUGGAAAGGGUCACGGAUAGGAUUGGUAUAUUAGUUUCAGCUAUAACAGAGAUUUCUCAGCAUGUUUCUAUCUGGUUGGUAUCCGCUGGUACCAUUCAUUGUGAGUGCUUUUAGGGGUUGCUCAACUCUCGGCUAUUUUCACCAUCUAAAUGAUUGCAUCUUCCCGUUCUCACAAUUUCUCAAAGGUUAUUGUAUUGAUACUAUGGAAUUUAGAGUUAAAAAACAAUAGGGUUCAAUUCGAUUCAUUUUGGAAACUCUAGCGGGGCCAUCCCAAAUUCCUCUCAGCUGUCAUAAUUGAAUAAAAGGGAUCGUAUAGCUUUCCAAUCCAGCAACAUACAUCUAUCACCUAGGCAUAACUUCCAACAUCAGUAUGCAGAAAGAAUCUGUUUAGAACGGUUUAGAGUCGGAACCAAGGCAAGAUAUCUAGGAUUCCGUAUAGUAGAGGAACGAACACACUGGGCUUUCCCUUUCAAAUAGACGACCUGGAGACAGAUCAACACAGCCAAUGCUUCUUUUAGACCUAGAACCCGGACCAGAACAUGGAAAUGGUUACAAGGCAUCGAACGGCACUUGUCCUAUCAUACCUUCUCUUGUGGCUUUAGACUGUGUAUAUACUUGACCUUGCCAAGCAGAAGAAGCAGAAGCCCUAUUGGAAUCCGAGUCAGGGUCAUUGUUGUUACAGUUUCCCCUUUUGGUAAAGGUUGGGUUGAAGGGAUUGGGAUUGGCUUAUCGAGAUGUGCGUGUAUCUCAUAUCGUUCUAGUGACUCCGCUUUCCUGACCAGGGAACUGCUAUCUCAAGGAUAGUCAAGUCCCGGAUUCGAAAGUCGACAUGAUACGCUUGAUUGGUCUGGCAUCGCCGGUUUCGCAGGAUCACUUAUGCUAUUUCGAGAACAGAACCUGGCCCAUGGGGAAGAAGUAGUAGCCAAUGCCGAAACUACUUGCUUGCUUUUACUUUCCGACGCCAAUGCCAACAAGUGCUUUCCUGACUCGAGAACGAGUACAUACGCUUUCUCCGAUGCUUGCUCUUGUUACGAGCUUCUACCCGACCGAUUAGCCCAGAGCACUAAUACGCUUUCUUUCCUCGAACAAGUACCUUUCCUUCGAACGAGAAUGCCAACUGCUUCCUUCCAACAAUCCAAUACGAAUACGAAUGUACGAAUGACAGGCCAUUCCCCAGAGUAGAGUAGAAAUGAAUUCAUUCACAUCUGCUAGAAACCAGAGCCUGAGCUAUGAACUGAUCUAAGAGCGGACAAGCAAGCCUAUUCCUAUUGUUUUGGGUGGCAGAUUCAAUAUGUUAUUUCUCAUUGCGAAUACAGAUUCUUCUUGUACCGUAGUAGCUCGACUGCUUUCCUGACUUGACUCGAUAACUGCUUUCGCUUCCCCAAUCCCAGAGCAUCCAAGAGAUUCGUUUCCACACGCCUGAUCCGCAGUUCGAUUCGUGCCGGUGCCGGCAAGAGAUCCUGUUCCUGUUGGGCAAGGGAUUUGAUAGCUAGAAAAACAAGCGGCGGAUUCGAUUCUUUCUUUGAUAGCAGAACGGGAUAUUCCACUCUUUUAGAUGCGCACCGCACUUCAUCAGUAGAAAAGCCCGGCGCCUGAAACCCAAGCUCAAAACCACCCUUCCUUUAGUUGGACCGGCAUACAUAUCUUAUCUCGUAAGAAACCGGGGAAUAUUGAUUUCGAGUAAGCAUCGUAUCCUGAUCCUGCUAUUGAUGUAGAUUUAGCCACACCAGCACCUGGGCCCGCAACUGCUGCCUCUGUAAUCGAGGAAUAUCCCGUCCCGGAUUUGCCCUAAAGUAUUAUGGGAUAUCUAUUAUUAUUGGCAACUUGUUUAGUUCCCGCAGAAAGAGAUGCGCCAUAGUAUCCCUCGGGCAUGGGCCAACCACCAAGGCCAGGAACUAGAACAACUCGAUACUUUCCACCAUCCACAACCCUUGAUUUCUCAUAUUUGUGCAACGGCUGUUCUGGCACUAUUCUCCGAUUUCCACCCAUUGUUCACAUUCUAUAUACCUUGCCCCCUCCUCCCAACUUCAUCACACCCGCCUUUUUAACAUUGUUUUGAAACAAAGGAAACAUGCAACUGCCCGUACUUUCCCACUUGUAUAGCCCACCACUUAAUUAAUGCGCGACCUGAUGCGGGUCAUAUUGGAUGAUCAGCGAACCUAAUUAUAUUCACCUGUAGCCAAUGACCAAUACAUAAUCUCAGAAUCCUCACCCAGCUCGGUUGAUUAGAUCUCCCUUUAAUUCAUAUAUGCUACUUCCGGUCCGGGCAUAAGUGGAAACCCAUUGAUCUCGGGAUCAGGACUCGAACUUAGAAGCUCUUCCUCUUUUAGCAACCGGAUUGCUCCUCGCAAUAAAUAUGGCUCAGGUGUUGGAUCAAUAGCUCCUGUUUAGGAAGGAUGUCAUGGGCCCCCAAGCAUCCCCUUAAAUAUGGUGAAUGAAGAGAAUUGGACCAGUCCUUGAAUAGGAAUGAUGGGUAUCCUUGUCAUAGGGCUAUGUUUCUGUCAGAGUCUAGUGGCACCCUUUAAAGUAGUCUGGCUGGAUUGCUGCUGAAUAGCUUGAUGGGUCAGGGCAGAUUGAUAGGGAAAGAACCCUCGCCAUCUGGAAUCACUAUCUUCCGUGGAUGUUCUCGUUCUCCUUCUCUCAUUUCUGUGAUCGUAUAAGCUAGAUAGGCUUCUGUAGUUUCCGGGUUGCUGGGUUCCAUUUUUCUUUGCUUGCUGCAUAUCUCACUCAAUCCCUUGCUUUCGAGAAUAGCAUUUCCCUAGUGCUAGUUGUGGGUCAGAGUUGACAGAUCAGAAGUAGAAUACUUGACUUCUCUAAGAUGCCAGGAGGGAACAGAACAGUCAUGCAGAAGAGAGAAGCAGGUGAGGAUGGGACCCGGAAAUGCAUUCGAUUUUCUCGAGUGAAGUAGUUGAAAAUGUACCACCCUUUACGGGAUCUUCUCUGGUGCGCCAACCCUAGAAUUUCAUAUUAUGAUGGCGCUGGAACUGGAUCACUCCACUCCAGAGGCAGGUAAGCUUGCUCCUUGCACUGGCACUGGCUUGCUUCGCCCAGAUAGGGCUUCUGUUGGUCUCUCUUUUUCACUAUCACUGAAAUCCACCUCCUCUUUAGAAAAAUGAGAGCUGCUCUUUGGUAGUUUCGGUAGUCCCAAGUAAGCUAUCGACUCUGGUGUCCAAUCAGUUCUGAAGUCUGGCUUGUCAUUGGAAAAGGUAGCAAAGAAUAUCGUAUUAAGAUGUCGGUAGUACAAAGCAAGCUACUUCGUCUGUUCACUCAAUUGGCUCCCUAAUCUUGCCUUUCAAAGAAAGGAUAAUGCGUAGGAGUGAAGCAGUUGACUACUGUGUCUUGAGGAGUUCUGUACCGUACCCUGUGUGUCCGAUCGAGUUCUGCGGUCUACGGCUGUAUCCGACCAAUUAUCCAAGGCGCGGUCCACCUCUUUCUAUGCUUCAAUUUAGUGACGCAAGUAAUGGUGGUGUUUGUUGUACUAUAUGUACUGGGUUCGUUCUCUUGUUGUCAGUAUGUAUUGAACUACCGCAAUACAGGACUAGUGGGCCCCCCGUCUAUCUAUUAGCCGUCUAUCUAUUAGACCUAUCUAGAAGUAGAAGUUCGUUGCAUUCCCGGAGAUGUAGAAUUGAGUGUUUAGCUUACCGGGCAUUGUGCUAAGUUUGCAUCCGAAUCGAAAUCUGGCGCUACUACUCAAACGCGAAAGCUAGGGAAGGGAAUAGAAGGGCGGGUAGAUCAAUGUGAUGAUAGCACCACGCCAGGCACCGAAGACGAAAGCGAAACAUCGUCGGUAACACUAUACGUUGUAGUCUCGCAUUAUCCACUGGAUCCGCGGCUAACCAUAUAUAAUGCUCAAUGCUAUGCAAAAGCAAUAAAGGGGAGAUUGUCUUCUAACUAACUAUAUAAGUAAUUUAUAUAACUAGAUGAUUCUCGUUCAAAAGAUUCUUCCCAUUAUCAUUAUAUAGAGAGGCGGAGGCGCGUAGCAAUAAAAAAGCUUGCUUGUUGGGCUGAUGAGGCUCGAGAAAGACUGUGAAGUGAAGAUGCGCCAUUACCGAAACCAUUUCUUUGCUUUGGGCGAAGUUCCUUUAUAGGGAGCUCACUUCCUUGCUUGGUUGGUUGGUUGAACUUGCUUUUUAGGUGCGGUGCGUGCGGGUCUAGUUUCAUUUAUGAGUGCUGCGUAUAUUUCCGUUAGUAAUGGUUUUGAGCUUGGGAAGAAGGGAUAUGGGUAUGGCAUCAUCCCAUAUUUGAUCUAAGGCUAGUUCUGUGUGUGCAACUACUAUCUUAUCUCAAUAUCAGGCUAAGGCUUGGCUAAGUGCUCUAGAGGUUUUCCUUAUUGUCCUGGUUCUUACCUCAACAGGGCAGGGGAGAUAGUUGGAAGUUGAAUAGUCGUAUCAUAUCAGUUCAGAGAAUCCCUGUUGAAUGGCUUGGCUUUCAGUGCGAGUCUAGUUGACUGAUUCCUAGGCUAGCUUCUCCUUAUGUGCGGGUCUAGUCUACAGAACAGAUGAAGACCCAGAACCGAGGAGAACAGAACGAAUACCGAUCUCAGAGCGGACAAUCAAUCCCAGUUCCUAGUUUCCUUCAAGCAAUAGCCUGCCUGUUCCCGUUCUUCGUGUAGCAAACCUCCUAUAGUGGAUACGACUGAGAACGAGCUUGACUCCACUCACUGCAAAGGAACAACUGAUUCUCCAAUUCCGUGGUUUGUUUUCCUUUCAUUCUACCUACCUUCUUUUCACCGGAGGCAUAUUUGAUACGUUAUUUAACAUUCCGAAGAAAGUGCAAACUUCCAGAUCUGAAGGAAUGGCAAGAUCAGAGAUCCAUUUUACGCUGGGGCCUGGCCAAUGGGGAAUCAGUAGUACUCGACCUUUGCUUCAGAAAUCCACUGUUGCUGAAGAGAAGAGAAGAGAUUUCUAGCGCGCACUCCUAUCCGAGUAGAAAGACAGCCUACACUCACUGUUGGCAAUGGAAGAGACUAGACUCUUUCCACACUUAAGAUCCCAAGGGACAAGACAGAUCAGAUCUUUCUCUUUAGCCGGUCUCGUGUUAGAUCCUAUGAUUUGGUUAGUUAGCCUACGAGAACAAGUCACAAGUUUUUUGUUUGACUAUGCAUCCAGUUCGUUGCUAUCUCUAUCUUAAUCUACAUGGAUAUUAACACGCACUAUUCUUGAGAGUCAAGACACCGUUUUGCUUUAAAGAGCAAAAAAAAUCCCAGAUAAUUACUAAUGCACCGUUGAGUACACAGAUUCUUUUCCUGUUCGUACUGGAGUAUAGUAAGGAAAAACUGCUUGACCGAAUCAAGGUCAAGAUAACUAGUGUGAUUCCUACACUGGGAGAAUCGUGGAUAUGUAGGGAAUAGAGAAAUGCCACCCGCCUAAGUAAAGAACUGUUACAAAUAAAGAGGAAACUAAUAAGGAUAAGUAAGAAACAAGAGAAAAGAAACCAUAUUUGAUACCGGAAUAUUCGGUUUGAUAACCCGCAACUAAUUCCCCCUCUGGGUAAUCUUUCACAUUCGGCCAAAGAAGAAAUUCGAAAAACUAGAAAGCCUAUAGGCUGACGCCAAAGAUUCCAUCAAAAAAACCAUAUUUUGGCUGUGCUUCAACUAUACCAACUGUACUUGAACUGUUAGAUAAUCAUAGUCGAUAAUAACAUCACAGCUCCCACCGCUAUUGAAAAACCUUACAUGAAACCUUAGCUUCAUACGGCUCCUCUAUGAUCAGAAAAAAAGGACUGUUUCGGUAUUAUCCCCCAGGUUUAUCAGUUGCAGGUGAAUCCUGUGAAACAUCUCUCUCGAGGCUAGUAACAACACUUGGAAAUGAAAAAUGAGCUUAGCGGCUGUACCGGGUCAGGACCAUAAACACCACGAGCCGGUUAAGCAACAGAAGCUGUGGGCGAAAGCACACUCGUCAUUCUCAGACCUGCGGUCGAGGUACGUGCGAACAAGUUCCCAUUCUCUAUGUUUCAUGGCCUAUCAAUGAAAGUCGGUAUCAGGCUGGCUCGCUUGGCGGGUCAUCUCCUUAUAUACCUAAAUCCUCGUUUCACUCAUCUGUAAAGGUCUACCCUUCGAAAGGUAGGUUGAGUUCCCCCGUAUGUAGCCAGCCACACUCUACUCGCAGGUAAAAUAUUGGCGUAGACAACAGAGAAUGUGCUAGGUAGGAAACCGAAGGAACUCUUACUAUACGAGAAUUUGCAAUUCAAUAUGACAACCGAUCAGAAGGGAUUGGACGAUCCCAAUGCGUUGCCCUCCUUCGCAAUACCGGAACUAUCUGACCGAGCUCCAUCAACACAGAAAGCGGAAGGGACAGCAGAUACAGAUAGACUGGAUCCGGAAAGGGAUUUCAGCCAGUCCUUGCCUAUUGCUGGGCUGGUUGUUUUGUCACGGUCCGAUUAGUAGAAGGUGAGUGAGUAAGACGAGGCCCCCGAAGCGUAAUGUAGAGCUAUACUGCUCUUGUUUUUCCUUCCGCCCUGCUUAGGAGAACUUUGUCUAGAACCCACUUUAGCUAGCUUUCAAGGAUACCAUUACAGAUGAGUGAAGCGAGUAUACCGUUUCCGGAGCUCCCGAGGUAGCGCGGUAGCGGAAGCCCUUUCUAGUUCAAGCAGUUCCAAUUCCUAUUCUGCUUCACCGCUUACACCACACUCUAUUGGUUCGCCUUGUGGUGCCUUUCGAUCAAGGUCUACUUUGGUUGAUCCACUUUCUUCUACAGCGCGUUAUCCGCAUCGAAGUUAGCCAGGUUCCUACCGCUUCUUGAUAUUAUGGAUUUUGCAAUCCCUGAACGCCAGUGCUUCUACAACCAACGGAUACUAUUUAACAUAAAUAAUAAGUAGAAAUGGACAAACGAGUGUGGCUACACAGAGUGAGGAAAAAAACAUGGUGGUACCAGCAUUGCGUAUCACUCACUAUGCUUUAUGUAAUAUGGCUUAAGCAAUGGUAAAAUGGGAGUCCUGAGCAAAGCACAUCUGAUCGAUAUGAAUGAAAGAUACAUCCGUCUUUUCUUCUCCUUCGAAGGUUAGGUAUCCGCUCGUUAGUUCAGCGCCGCAUAAAUACUGACUUUAAAAGGGGCGACUCCCGCCUGUGCUUAAGUUGUUUCAAGCUUGUAAAGACUCGCGAUCGGAAGAUUGACCUGGUUUUCUUUCAGCGGAAACUCUACCUAAUGGUUCAGGAAAUGGAAAUGGUAACAGCGGCCCAAAAAUGGUAAGGUUUUCUUUUCAAAGAAAAAGGAACGCAAAAGUUUCGCGAAAUCCUUAUCUUUCGGCUUUUUAAAGAAGAUAGGCCAUUACAAAAACAAGGUAUAACAGUCGAAUUUCCUAUCAGGAUUUUACAACCUGAAUACCAAGGGACCACUAUUAGAAGAGAGCAUAAUAAGUAAAUGCCGACGCCAUCUUUGACUUUUUGGAUGGUCGGCGGCGCCAUAAACUCGAUAACCAGCACCGCGGAGUCAAGAAAUUCAACUAAAUAGAAUCCUAAAACAAUCUUAUUCGAGCACACACGGGACCCACAGCAAUGAAAUUCACACAAGCGGCAAUCAUCCGAGCAGAGAAUGGAGAAGGGAAAUAUACUUGAAAUUGUUUUUUUCCGAAUGAGAAAGCCUUUGGCAAACUCCUUGCAAAUCUGUUUUUGCCGGGCACAAUAGACAUAUCUGCUCAGUCACAACAUAAGGAACCCCCAAUGUUCCUCAAAGCCUACCCGGCCUGACAGCUUUAGUUGAAUGAUCUGAUCCCGAAGCAAGCUUUCUACUUAAAUUGCUAUGACUGGCCAACUAAUGAUAGGACUACAAUUAUAGUAGCAGGAAUCAUUGAUAGAUAUAGGGCGAAGAAAUCAAUGGAGAGAGAGCUUUGAACGUCAAUUGCCUAUGGUUCAUAAAGAUAGUAGCCCAUAGCUCCUUUAUCAAUUUCCUUCUGAAACUUAUCAGGGUCUAACAAUGUUGGAGAAGUAGUAUUGCUGCUGUCAGAAAGAAUAAUGGUUUCUUGCCCAUUAUGACAAAUACUCAUUGUUCUGGCCUUCCAAUCUAAAUUGAUUGGACUGUGACGAUAUAGCCAAUCAUAACCCAGUAUAACAUCAUUGCUUUCCAAUUUCAGUAGCUUGAAGGUGUCUUGAAAUGUGUGCCCUUUAAUAAGUAGUAUCUGCAGUGUAAGCUCCAGUAGUUAAUUGACCUCCUCCAGCCACUUUGACAGUAAACAAAUGUUUCUGACUCUCAUAUCAGUGAAGCCCACACCACCAUAAUCUUUAGGGGUGCAUAGGUGUUCCCAUCUGACCAUGUGAAAUUUCUUCUUCUUACUCCCAGUAGAAGUGAUUUCUUAUUGUAUCAACUUUUUUCUGUAUUUUGACAGGCAAAGUGUAGCAACCCAGAAGGUACAUAGGGACAUUUGAUAAACAUGCAUUGAUCAAUAUAUCUCUUCCUCCAUAAGAGAAAUGUUUGCAUUGCCAAGAGUCCAACUUCUUUUCUACCUUUUAAUGAAAAAAAUCAUUAGAAGAGAUCUUGUCUUUGCUGAUUGGUAAUCCCAGAUAUUAUAUUUUAUUGGAAAUUUGCCUAUCUCACAGUUAUAUCAGCUACCCUCUGCUCCUCCUCUACACUCAACCCUACUGUGAAAAUAUCACUCUUCAAGUAAUUGACUUUCAUGCCAGACAUUUCCUCUAAACAGUAGAGAAGGAAUUAGAAUCCAGUAAUAGACUCCAUGUCAUUAUGCAAAAAAAGCAAAGUAUCAGAAGCAUAUUGCAAAUGACUAAUCCCCCCUGGUAUCAGAUGUGGUACUAAACCUCUAAUCACACCUGCUUCCUUAGCUCUAUCCAGAAUUGCAGAUAGUGCAUCACCUACUAGGUGAAAAAGCAAAGGAGAAAGAGGAUCUCCUUGCCUCAAACCUCUGAAAGUAGAGAAAUAUUCUCGCCAAUCUCCAUUCAUAUUCACACACACUUUGCCUCCUUCCACUGCUUGUCUAAUCCAAUCUAUCCACCUGUCAGGGAAGUUUUUCCUAUGCAUUACCUCUGCCAAGAAAGGCCACUGAACUCUAUCAUAAGCUUUUUCAAAGUCCAACUGAAGCAAAAUUCCUUCAGAGUGAGAGGUUUUCAACUCAUGCAAAACUUCAUGAAGAAUUACACAUCCAUCCAAAAUGUACCUCCCAGGAAUAAAUCCAGUCUGAAGAGAGCUGAUUACUUCUCGAGCCAGAGGAGUAAAUCUAAGUGUCAGAGCUUUGGUAAUAGCUUUAAACAUAACAUUUAGAACACAUAUGGGUCUAUACUGUAGGAUACUAUUAGCAUCCUUAAUCUUUGGCAGUAGAGAAAUGACACCAUAGUUUAGUCUGGACAAGUUCAACCUGCCAUGAUACAGCUCCUGAAGCAUUUAUAUUAGUAUAUCUCUCAACUGGGGCCAAAAAGCUCUAAAAAGCUAACAGAGAAGCCAUCUGGACCUGGAGCAGUAUUUGGUUUCAUGCUUUUCACCACCUUGUCUAUCUCUUCACUCAUGAAGUUAAUACAAGUGAGGACUGAUUUCUGUCAUUCAUAUAAUUCAGAAGAGGAAGGCCGGUUGAGUGCUUUCCGCGUAAGACUAUUGAGUUUCCAGCUGAUUGCCCAUAUUUUCCAGGAUAGGAUUUGUCCACUUGAUUGAAUUCAUGUCAUUGAAGCAAUGAACUUGCUAGCCAGCGUGCCAAAAAGGUUGCUGACUUUGGGUACACAGAGUAGUGGCGAGAAAAGGGCUUGCGCCUCAGCCGUUUCGCUUGAUUCGGACCUUGUGGUUGUAGUCACAGGGUACAAAGAUAACCCCACAACCAUUUGUUGUAUUCUUUAAGUCAAUCGCUCGUAGUAUGUGCUAGAAUGAGAUGAGAUCCAGCUCAAAGGUGAAGACCUCAUUCUUUGAACCCUCCCGGGCAGUUCCUGUUCUAGCUUCUCUAUCUCUAGCAAGUGAUACGAACAACACAACAUCUUCUCCGGUCGUAGGUCGGUAGGGCUUGCCCUGGCUAAGAAAUGGAAUAAAAAAUUCCCGGUUUCUUGACUGUUUCUGAGAUUAUUUACCUUUAUUUACAUGAAGAUGCACGGUCUCUUACACUUUUCCUAGCUUAAGUUGGCGGAUUGGUAAACAAACGGCUCUGCAGCUCCGUUCGCUUCGGCACCACUCCCUUGCUUCUUAUCGAGGUCGGUGCCAACAAACAAGUCCCAUUCGAGCAAUGGAAUCUACAUAAGAAUGUAAUCACUGUUAAGUAUUCCACUCACUGAUGCCCAGGAAAAUGGGCCUCUGAAGAAAGCAAAGACGUGGCCCAGACCGAAAAAGGAACUUGAUCACCCGGAGAAGAUUUCUUUUCUUUGCUGAUUCCUCUCAAUGAAAUUUGCCAUGUUGCACUAAGUUACUUACGGAUGUAUGCAUGCAGUCCGGGAACACUUUGGGGUGAACACCCAUCCGAACAAGUAGGGUCAAUAGUUCAGCAUUUAGGCCGUAACAUUUAGCAAAAAACGAAUCUGAAACCCAACAAGUGCUCUCCGAACCAAGCUAGAUAGUCUCCUAUCACUAGGCUCACCAACCAACCUGGACUUUGAUUCUUUCUUAUUAUUCUAACCGGAUAUAAAAACCAUAAGGAUUGUUUCCAGCCGAGAGUUCCCAUAUGACAUAAGCGCUCUUGGGUGGGGUGGGCCCUCAUUCGCCAGGUCUUUGAGUGCCCGUCGUACCACGUGGUUGGUACACUAGGCUGAUAGAUACUUUACUUUAAGGAUCUGGCACCUUCGCUAGACGGAGAGUAAGCGACUUCUAUUAGCACCGGACCGUCGAGUCGAAUUUCUCGUGUCAUGUGCAACGUCCAUCAAUGGUGGUUCAUUAAUGUCCAUAGAUUUAGACUCCUUCCCCCUUCCCUAAUACGCAAAAGAUAGAGAGGGGCCCGAACCCAAACCGAGAACGUAAACAGAAUUCGACUCACUCUCGUAUGGCUCGCCCUCGAGCCCUGGGCGAGUCGGCCGGGUCUUUCCCUCUUGUUCUGUUUCCGCCACGAUAAAGACGCACGGAAGAACUAUGGUAUGCCCAGCGCGUGGAGGAUCCGUUGAGAGUGUCCCUUGUCUCGGUAGGGAACAAUACCUAUUGUCUUGAAAAAAAAAGUCAGUGCUACGGUCCCCUAUUGUUUGAUCCAAUAUUGACCGGUGCGGAUCACGUUCUACUACCUCCGGUCCGUGGUUCGACCUCCCGUAGUGGUCCUUGCUUUUCUUUUUGAAAGCUCCGCAGGGCCAAUUUUGCGUACUUGCUCAGCGUGCCCCCCUUUCGUCGAGUGCCCCGCCCGGUUCACAGGGCUGUUGGCCUACCAAGCAAGCACUUGCCCGCUGCUCCUGCCGCCUGCCAAGUGGGCUCCGCGCUCGUUAUCCUGACUGUUCUCUCUGCUGGGCCCUUUCCUAUUGCUCUAACCAUAAGCUAUGGCAAUUCCAUCUCGCACCCACUCUGGCCCGCCAAGCGGGGCCUGAGUGAGCUCAGUGGUCAGCCCCUGACGUUAGGGGUCUUUCGCUUUUGCCAGAUCUAUAGAGAUAUUACGAGUCCUCCGUCCCAGAUUCCCUCGCCGCGGCCAUCUGGUUCACCGGUACUACCAAAAAGUCUCAUGCUUACGUUACUGUGACUGAUAUAUAAGUAUGAUCUCGGACUACGAAGACCAAGUCGUGCUUCUGGUUUCCAUUCUCAUCAUCAUAUUGAAGGAAACUCCUCGUGCUCUGCCAUAAGAACUUGGAGUCCAUAUCAUGGUGAAGGUAAGGUAACGCUGUGAUUCUUGCUCAAAAAACUGACCGAACACGUUCGAGUUAUUGGCUCGUCCGACCCGGCAGCAUUCAUGAGUCGCUCGUUCAACUGUCCCUCGGAGACACGGUCGAGAAGUGCCAUGCAUGGUCGCCCCCCCCCCCGUCCUUUCUUUCUCUCGGUCCCACCAGGGUGGGCCCCUCUGGGGUAAUAAAGAAAUGGAUAAAAAAAGGGGACUUCUGCUACGGGCUAUGCCACCCAUUACUUAUGAGGGAAGUCGCAUCCGUCCCAUCGCAAGCACCUACAAUGUCAUGAUCACAUUGGUUUACCCUUUUUUGGUAGUUCAACGGACGGUCGCCCCUCCAACAAGAAAAGGUAGAAAUAUGGAAACUUCUCUGCCAUUUAGAUCGGAGAAUUUAUAGAGGAAAUCGGGUUUUAAAUUUCCAGAAACCACACGAUUAUAUAGCCANNNNNNNNNNAACUGGGGCCAAAAAGCUCUAAAAAGCUAACAGAGAAGCCAUCUGGACCUGGAGCAGUAUUUGGUUUCAUGCUUUUCACCACCUUGUCUAUCUCUUCACUCAUGAAGUUAAUACAAGUGAGGACUGAUUUCUGUCAUUCAUAUAAUUCAGAAGAGGAAGGCCGGUUGAGUGCUUUCCGCGUAAGACUAUUGAGUUUCCAGCUGAUUGCCCAUAUUUUCCAGGAUAGGAUUUGUCCACUUGAUUGAAUUCAUGUCAUUGAAGCAAUGAACUUGCUAGCCAGCGUGCCAAAAAGGUUGCUGACUUUGGGUACACAGAGUAGUGGCGAGAAAAGGGCUUGCGCCUCAGCCGUUUCGCUUGAUUCGGACCUUGUGGUUGUAGUCACAGGGUACAAAGAUAACCCCACAACCAUUUGUUGUAUUCUUUAAGUCAAUCGCUCGUAGUAUGUGCUAGAAUGAGAUGAGAUCCAGCUCAAAGGUGAAGACCUCAUUCUUUGAACCCUCUCGGGCAGUUCCUGUUCUAGCUUCUCUAUCUCUAGCAAGUGAUACGAACAACACAACAUCUUCUCCGGUCGUAGGUCGGUAGGGCUUGCCCUGGCUAAGAAAUGGAAUAAAAAAUUCCCGGUUUCUUGACUGUUUCUGAGAUUAUUUACCUUUAUUUACAUGAAGAUGCACGGUCUAUUACACUUUUCCUAGCUUAAGUUGGCAGAUUGGUAAACAAACGGCUCUGCAGCUCCGUUCGCUUCGGCACCACUCCCUUGCUUCUUAUCGAGGUCGGUGCCAACAAACAAGUCCCAUUCGAGCAAUGGAAUCUACAUAAGAAUGUAAUCACUGUUAAGUAUUCCACUCACUGAUGCCCAGGAAAAUGGGCCUCUGAAGAAAGCAAAGACGUGGCCCAGACCGAAAAAGGAACUUGAUCACCCGGAGAAGAUUUCUUUUCUUUGCUGAUUCCUCUCAAUGAAAUUUGCCAUGUUGCACUAAGUUACUUACGGAUGUAUGCAUGCAGUCCGGGAACACUUUGGGGUGAACACCCAUCCGAACAAGUAGGGUCAAUAGUUCAGCAUUUAGGCCGUAACAUUUAGCAAAAAACGAAUCUGAAACCCAACAAGUGCUCUCCGAACCAAGCUAGAUAGUCUCCUAUCACUAGGCUCACCAACCAACCUGGACUUUGAUUCUUUCUUAUUAUUCUAACCGGAUAUAAAAACCAUAAGGAUUGUUUCCAGCCGAGAGUUCCCAUAUGACAUAAGCGCUCUUGGGUGGGGUGGGCCCUCAUUCGCCAGGUCUUUGAGUGCCCGUCGUACCACGUGGUUGGUACACUAGGCUGAUAGAUACUUUACUUUAAGGAUCUGGCACCUUCGCUAGACGGAGAGUAAGCGACUUCUAUUAGCACCGGACCGUCGAGUCGAAUUUCUCGUGUCAUGUGCAACAUCCAUCAAUGGUGGUUCAUUAAUGUCCAUAGAUUUAGACUCCUUCCCCCUUCCCUUAUACGCAAAAGAUCGAGAGGGGCCCGAACCCAAACCGAGAACGUAAACAGAAUUCGACUCACUCUCGUAUGGCUCGCCCUCGAGCCCUGGGCGAGUCGGCCGGGUCUUUCCCUCUUGUUCUGUUUCCGCCACGAUAAAGACGCACGGAAGAACUAUGGUAUGCCCAGCGCGUGGAGGAUCCGUUGAGAGUGUCCCUUGUCUCGGUAGGGAACAGUACCUAUUGUCUUGAAAAAAAAAGGUCAGUGCUACGGUCCCCUAUUGUUUGAUCCAAUAUUGACCGGUGCGGAUCACGUUCUACUACCUCCGGUCCGUGGUUCGACCUCCCGUAGUGGUCCUUGCUUUUCUUUUUGAAAGCUCCGCAGGGCCAAUUUUGCGUACUUGCUCAGCGUGCCCCCCUUUCGUCGAGUGCCCCGCCCGGUUCACAGGGUUGUUGGCCUACCAAGCAAGCACUUGCCCGCUGCUCCUGCCGCCUGCCAAGUGGGCUCCGCGCUCGUUAUCCUGACUGUUCUCUCUGCUGGGCCCUUUCCUAUUGCUCUAACCAUAAGCUAUGGCAAUUCCAGCUCGCACCCACUCUGGCCCGCCCAGCGGGGCCUGAGUGAGCUCAGUGGUCAGCCCCUGACGUUAGGGGUCUUUCGCUUUUGCCAGAUCUAUAGAGAUAUUACGAGUCCUCCGUCCCAGAUUCCCUCGCCGCGGCCAUCUGGUUCACCGGUACUACCAAAAAGUCUCAUGCUUACGUUACUGUGACUGAUAUAUAAGUAUGAUCUCGGACUACGAAGACCCAGUCGUGCUUCUGGUUUCCAUUCUCAUCAUCAUAUUGAAGGAAACUCCUCGUGCUCUGCCAUAAGAACUUGGAGUCCGUAUCAUGGUGAAGGUAAGGUAACGCUGUGAUUCUUGCUCAAAAAACUGACCGAACACGUUCGAGUUAUUGGCUCGUCCGACCCGGCAGCAUUCAUGAGUCGCUCGUUCAACUGUCCCUCGGAGACACGGUCGAGAAGUGCCAUGCAUGGUCGCCCCCCCGUCCUUUCUUUCUCUCGGUCCCACCAGGGUGGGCCCCUCUGGGGUAAUAAAGAAAUGGAUAAAAAAAGGGGACUUCUGCUACGGGCUAUGCCACCCAUUACUUAUGAGGGAAGUCGCAUCCGUCCCAUCGCAAGCACCUACAAUGUCAUGAUCACAUUGGUUUACCCUUUUUUGGUAGUUCAACGGACGGUCGCCCCUCCAACAAGAAAAGGUAGAAAUAUGGAAACUUCUCUGCCAUUUAGAUCGGAGAAUUUAUAGAGGAAAUCGGGUUUUAAAUUUCCAGAAACCACACGAUUAUAUAGCCAAAGGGAAUACGCCGCGCCUAAAAUCAUCCCAAGCGCAGCUAAUGUGGCUACUAAGCUAUUUCUUUGGAAAGCUCCUACUAAGAUUAGAAAUUCCCCGAUAAAGCUGCUAGUGCCGGGUAAACUCAUAUUGGCUAAAGUGAAAAAGAAGAAAAUGGUAGAGAAAUUCGGCAUGGUGCUCACUAAACCUCCAUAAUAUCUAACAAGUCGAGUCUUAUGUCGGUCAUAUAGAACACCAACACAUAGAAAAAGGGCUGAAGAAACCAGUCCAUGACUUAACAUAAGUAAAAUGCUACCUCCAAUUCCCUGUAUGUUCGAUAGAGCCUAAUAUUCCCCCAGAGUACGCCGCUUACCCCCCGAACCGUACAAGAUAGUUACCACCUAUCAUACGGCUUUCUAACUCCACUUCUUUUUCUGGUCGUUCCGCUCUGUCGGAUCGAUGGUAGUCUCAGAGAUCUGGUAACCUCCGACAUUUUUGACAACACGCUUCCUGCUUCUGUUUUGAGUUGCGCAUCUUUCUCCCCGGGGCAUACUAUAGUAUCACAUCGUAGACGCCCACCCCAACUCUAUCUUCCUUAUCAGUGAACCGGAACAUAGUGCAUAGGUACUCUUCGAUGCUGCGAGGACGAGACGAGGUGACAUACUACGAUCACGCACUGAAGUUCUGCCCUUCGGCUCGGCAUAUGGAACCUCUCAGCUGCUCCCUCGGGAUAGGUAGGCCCACCCCCCCUUUCCCGAGAGGCGGCCGGGCUGUGUUUCCCCUGCGGCCACCCAGUGGCGGCAGAAAACGAAAAAGGGUGGGCUCCGCGCGGUUCGCGUUUUAUUGUAAAAAGAGAGCUUUUCAUUCUCUUAUAGAAGCCCGCGCCCACGCGGGUAAAGCCCAGCGAAGCUGCAGGGAGCACUGAGCAAUGGGGGGAUGAGGGCGACUCCGCCCACGGGUUGGACCACACCACAGGCAAAAGUCCUUCCACGGCAAGAGAAGGGUGACCGGAACAAGAAAAGGGAGCUAGUCGUUGGAGGGAAGACAAGGCUCGUUCCGUGCGACUCCACAGAAGAGUACGCGCGCUAGAAAAGGCAGCCAGCUUAAAAACGCUAGCUAGCUACUUUUGUAGCCUUAUUUAGUUUGGUUGCCUAUGCUUGCUCUCCGACGCGCUACGGCAACACCCCCUGCUUGCUUCUUUCUGUUCGACGCGGAGCUCGCAGCCUCCCCACCCUUGCUUAGCAUUCCACUUGUGAUCCUGGAGGAUUUGGAGAAAUGCGCCCGACCAUGAAGAAUGGAUUUUGUAUUUUAUUUCAUGUGAACGGCCCUAUCUUGUAAAGAAUGGUUUUUCGUGCUAUAGACCACGUUGAGAAAGACCAACCAACAACACAAAUAAAGACCGUUCCAUUUGGGUACCUCGAAAGGGAGGUGCUCCUUAUGAUGCUACGGACGGCUGUCCGAAGUGCAUGCAAUGACGGGCUCGGAUAGGAUAGGAUUGUGCGCGCCGGGCCCUUCGGGUGUCCAUAUUUUGGCCGACCUUAGCGUAUAUACUAUGUUAUGCGGCCGUAAUAUUUUGAUACCUUCCACCGCUGUUACGCCAGAAAUCCAAGGUUCCACACGAGCUCCUGUUCUGCGGCGUGGUGGCAGGACCGCUAGGGGAUUGGCUCCGGGUGUAGGUAGGGUCAAAUCCGCAGGGGUCAUGCAAAUACAUAGGCCCCUUCCCUUCUGCCGAGUUGUUUAGAAGGCGCUUUCCGUUCUACGGUCCCUCGGAGCGAAGGGUUAGGCAGGUAGUACGGUCCCUCUGACUUCCAGCUAUGUGCUGUGUGCGACUCCGGCGAAGCGAAUGAAGGGAAGCUCUUCGAGCUUUCUCCGCCAGCGGCUUAUGUAGUGGUCGGCAUUCCUACGUGCUCCGACUGAUCCCCACUGGAGAUUAUAUGAGGGGUCUUGGAAACUGUCGUGACGCUUUGGUGACGAAGGUCACCGGGGUGACUAUGGAAGGAUUCCGUGGUAGUCUCUGACUCCCUCCAACUCAAUCAAUAUCAAGAACAUGUCGUGAGCAUGGGGGUUUGGCCGACUACUAAACUAUUGGCUAGGGCUUUUCUAGUUAUAGCUUCUAUAGUGAGUGGCCCUUCCGCUUUGAUCUAGUUGUAGUUUGUAUUGUACUAAAUUGAACACAUAUCAAAGAAAGGCGAUCAAUCAAUAAGUAGUUGCCCUUCUCCGGCCUGGGAAAAGCAGCGAACUCGUUAAACAAGGGGCUUUUUUAUUCAUGGUCGCUACUGUUGUAUUGUAUAUUGUCGGGGGAAGCUACUGCUUCUACGACAGCUCCGCUUCCUCGUCUUGCUUCUACUUUGCUUGUUUGCGCGAAGGCUUAGAGUCCUUUUCGCUAGGUCCAAAUUCGUCAAAGCGAAAGAUCUGAUCCAACGGAAAUCCCGCAUAUUGAGCGCAGCUGAUAUGUGGCUACUAGGCGCGAUCAUCCCGCAUGCCAUAAAAAAUACUUCUUUUUUUUAUGGCCCGUCAUAUAAAGAUAGAAUAGAUAUGGAUAGAGAGACAUUCUAUUGAUUCGCGAAAUGGCUCGUCGAUCCAAAUGAAUCAUUCUUCUGGUCUCUCUCUGCCCCCCCGCCCCAAAACUGACCCACGACACAGCGCCCAUUCGUUUCGCGCGCGGGAAGGCAACGAAGUUCUGUUCAAAAGACCGCAGCGGAGUGGAGCAGCCGCGACACGAAGUUCCUUACCUUAGCUGGAUCUCGCUGGUGCCACCUAAACGGUAGGUAUAGGCGGCGGAUGUCUGACGUUUGGAGUUGUCGUUCGUGCACCUGUCCCCAAUAGAAGAAUGAGUGAUCCCUUCCCCUGCGGAUCAUGGCCUUACCACUAGGUCCCCGAUGGCCAGCGGGGGAUUCGGUAUAGCAGCUCACGUUCGUUUGCGCUUCGCGUUCCCACUGGACUGGGCACGUGUUAGCUGUAGGAAGUAUGGUUACGAAAGUGACUUCGGUUCGCCAGUUCAGGCUCAACUCCUCGCUUUACGUUAGCGGACUUACAGGUCGGGCCGGGGAUCCACGCUCUUUCUUUCUGUGUGGGACGAUGCCGGGGAAUGUGUCGAGGCGGCGAACAACAACAAGACAACUAACUACAUUUGCUUUUUCCCUCCAUGAGAUGAGCCAGUGCAUUGGACCGAUGGAUAAUAGAACUGAGCUGGCCAAACGCUUGGGCGCUCUACAUAUGAUGUAGAAAAAAUCAGAUACAUAUCGAUUUCUUUCUGAUGGAUCCAGAAUAGAUAGAUAUCUUGUAUCAUCAAUAGAUAGAAAGAGGUCAACCCUUAUUAUUGAUAGAAAACCUUUCGAUCUAUCAGAACAGAUCAGGCCAUCUAUCAAUCGAUUUGAAUCAUCUCGCUUUUCGUUCAUUUCAGCCACGCCAUAAUAGCCGCCACAAUAAGAAAGAAGCAAGCGAAACAGCUAGAAGCGCUCGCUUCGCCGCGCCCAACAAUUCUUAUUCACGGGAAAGCCAACCGAAAGAUUCGAUUCGGACUUCGUAGAGCCGGUGCUGCUGCUGUCUGCGUAGGGCCGUCCCCCACUCCCGUCCCGGGGCGCUAAGGGGUUUUGUUUUAGGAACAGACGGCGGUGUUUUGCUGACGCCUCGAAUCGACGCUUUUGUUGCGACAUGCUAAGUUUUCUCCCCUAUUGCUAGUAGGUUGAUGGGUCGCACGCCCGGCACACAUGUUUUGGCCUUGCUUGUGUGUCCAUAACUCAAAAUAGGUGACCUAACGGCCGCCGCCCGACUAAACAUACCAAUAGUCACCAAAUUCAUAUGGGCUACUGAGGAGUAGGCAAUGAUCUUCUUAAGAUCGAUCUGUCUUAAAGUGGUCAAGGAAGUAUAUAUUAUAGCAAUCGCGCUUAGAGUAUAAAUGAAAGGAGUGAAACAAAGUGUCGCUUCGGGAAACAUGGGUAUUGAAAAUCUUAAAAACCCGUAGGUUCCCAAUUUUAAAAGAAUUCCAGCCAAGAUGACGGAUCCAGCCGUAGGUGCCUCUACAUGGGCUUCGGGUAACCAAAUAUGAACUGGUACCAUAGGCACUUUGACGGCAAAAGAGGCGAAAAAAGCAAUCCAUAGAAGGAUUUGGCGCCGCUCACUAAAUUCAGUGGUUAAUAAAAUUUGUAAAUCGGUGGUUCCUGUUUGGAGAAGAAUCAACAGAAUAGCUAAUAGCAUAAAAACGGAUCCAAGUAAAGUAUAUAGGAAAAACUGAUAUGCUGCCUUGAUCUUUCUUUGUCUCGAACCCCAUACCCCUAUAAUGAUGGUAGAGUCAGGGGUGGCCCCAAAGCGGAAUUGACCGGUGGUAGUUGGUCGAAGCUCCAGUGGGUAGCCACUCCCUUCUCAGGGAACCGUACGUGAGACUUCCGCAUCAUACGGCUCCGUCCCGAGCUUCCGUCGUCGGCCCUUGUCAUUAGACCACUAUGCUUGUCUUUUCCGCCUUGACUCUCGAAUCUUUUGCUUCUCGGGUGGUGGCGAACAAUGUUGCUUGCGUAGCGGGAGAUGCCCGCCCGUCGUUUAGGCCUGCUUCCUGCCCGAAAGAAGGCUAGCCGGACUAGUGGUAGGGGACCCGACCGUAAAAACCCUACCCUAUUCUCGAACCCUCUGCCGAGCUCUACCCUGCCCGCAUUUAUUUGGAAGGGGGCCAAAGAAAUGUCUCCACCUGCUGCCAACAGUCUUUCUUCGGAAUUCUACUGAACGGGUCGAUCCUCCCCUCCGUUUGUUUUAGCAACUUAUCCUAAGGUCUCUUCGCCAAGAACUCUCCGGCAACGACAGAGGAACUAACCUGCCUGCAGUGGCGGGGCGGCUUUUUUUUUAAAUAAGACCUGGACGAUUAUCCCUACCCUCGGUAGCUUACGAGUUUACGUCCAUCCCUGGUCGGGUACAGUUUCCUUUAUUUUUAUCCCUUGUAGCCGUUACCCGAAUUCGCGCAAGUGUGUCCACACCCCCCCUGACUUGACGAGGAAUUCAUUCUCGCGAACAAACACACCCCCUACACACACCUAGGAGCACCCCUUCCUGCAUAUCCAUACAAGACCUGAGUAGGCGGGUCGAGGUCCUACGANNNNNNNNNNCUCUUCGCCAAGAACUCUCCGGCAACGACAGAGGAACUAACCUGCCUGCAGUGGCGGGGCGGCUUUUUUUUUUAAUAAGACCUGGACGAUUAUCCCUACCCUCGGUAGCUUACGAGUUUACGUCCAUCCCUGGUCGGGUACAGUUUCCUUUAUUUUUAUCCCUUGUAGCCGUUACCCGAAUUCGCGCAAGUGUGUCCACNNNNNNNNNNAAAAACCCUACCCUAUUCUCGAACCCUCUGCCGAGCUCUACCCUGCCCGCAUUUAUUUGGAAGGGGGCCAAAGAAAUGUCUCCACCUGCUGCCAACAGUCUUUCUUCGGAAUUCUACUGAACGGGUCGAUCCUCCCCUCCGUUUGUUUUAGCAACUUAUCCUAAGGUCUCUUCGCCAAGAACUCUCCGGCAACGACAGAGGAACUAACCUGCCUGCAGUGGCGGGGCGGCUUUUUUUUUAAAUAAGACCUGGACGAUUAUCCCUACCCUCGGUAGCUUACGAGUUUACGUCCAUCCCUGGUCGGGUACAGUUUCCUUUAUUUUUAUCCCUUGUAGCCGUUACCCGAAUUCGCGCAAGUGUGUCCACACCCCCCCUGACUUGACGAGGAAUUCAUUCUCGCGAACAAACACACCCCCUACACACACCUAGGAGCACCCCUUCCUGCAUAUCCAUACAAGACCUGAGUAGGCGGGUCGAGGUCCUACGACGUACCCACUACUCGGAGUACCCUCCCACCAAAAAAAGAUGUGUGGUUCGGUGGUUCGACCAGAAAUGCUAUGCUUACGCACAAGACUACCCCUCUUCCCGAAAGCUUCGCGGGGACCUUUACUACUUUACGACGACGGGGGACCGCCCGUAGGGGCUUUACUGCACAAGGCCCCUGCAGAGGAAAAGCUUGAUCCCAGCGAAUAGAAGAUGCUCAGCUCCGCACAACAUAGGGAUUGGCACGCUUUCGGAAAGAACAUAGAAUAGUAGAGGAUCCAGCAUGCAGGACACGGCGAUCAUUAGAAAUUCACGAAUUAGAAAUGCUGUAAUAUACUCUUUCCCAAAACUUCUCAUACCAGACCAACCCACUGAAAUGCAAAUAGGGAUCAGAAAUGUGGUCAAUAUCACGAAGAAUAAUGAAAGACCGUCUAUACCCAUAUACAAAUGGAUGUUUUCAUAAGGAAGCCAUCGAAGGCUUUCCACAAAUUGAGAUUUGGCCGUAGAAGGAUCGAAUUGUAUCCGAGGAACAGGGGGAUACAAAAAAGUAAUAAGAGAAACGCACAGACCAAUCAAUCGUAUCGGUCUUAUUGAAGAAUUUGGAAUGAAAAGAGGAGUAAUGCUUCCUAGCACGGGACAGAGAAUAGGACCACUUAGAUCGAAAUAGCAUUCACAGAAAUGUUCUAACAUAGAGUAGAAUUGAACAUUGAAAAGAUUAGUUGACAACAGUCAAUCAAAAGAUGGGGCGCCAAAUUACUAAACAAUAGGGGUCUUUCUGUGCAAGUCAGCUGAACACCGUAAUUGAUGAGUGAGUAGGUGGGUUAGGUGCACCCCUCGCCCAGUGGGAAGUCAUGAGGCUAGCCCCCCCCUGAAUGAAGAAGUAGUGGGGCCCCCUGCCCGCCCACGUAUGCGCCUUUAUUUAGAUUCUAACUAAAUAUUAUACUGAACUUUAUCCGGGAAUCUUUCUAAAGAAUCCAUCUGGCAAAACGCAAUUUGUCGAUUUCAAUCUAAGGUGCACCUUGCCUUUUUCAGGUAGCUUUGUUACGCCUAUUCAGCUAGGUGGGGCAUUGGUCAUAGCCGAAGUCGAAGGGAAAAAAUAAGGUAAUGAGAUGAUGGUGCCAUCAAGAAGUUUUCGACGAACGUAGUAGCGGCCAAAAAUGAAACUCUUGCAUGAAAGACCGGAUUUGACGCAAGAUGAAUGGCGUUGGGGUUUUUCAAAUGAAACCCGCGAUCAGAAAGUCACCAACGGAGCCAUACAAUCUAUCUAGUAGUGUGCCAUGGCACGGUACUCCGCUUCGGCAGUGGAAGGAGCAACUGUCUAUUGCUUUUAUCUCAUCCAAGAUAGUGUCUCGUCUCCCCAUAAAAUAGAUAAGCCUGUAGUUGAGCACCUAUCUGAAGGCCCAAUCGGCAUCAGUAGUUGCACGCAACUCUAAAGAAGACGAUGACGGAAAAAAUAGGGUACUUCAUGACUGUCUAAAAAAAGAUUCAUUCCAGUGGUCAGAUGCUCAAAUUGAGGCCUUCACAACAUUGAAGAAUUGUCUGGUCACUGCUCCUGUUAUGGCUUUGCCUGAUUUGACCCUACCAUUUACUUUUUAAACAGAUGCAUCAGGUCAAGGUAUUGGUUCUGUCCUCAUGCAACAAGGCAGACCAAUUGCUUAUUUCAGUAAAACCCUUGGACCCAGAAAUGCAGCUAUGUCAACUUAUGAUAAGGAGAAGCUUUAGCUAUUUUGGAAUCCUUGAAGAGAUGGCGCCACUACUUUCUUGGUUCCCAAUUCUUUUUUUGAUCAAAACUGAUCAACAGAGCCUUAAAUACAUCACAGAACAAAAAGUCUCUGAGGGCAUCCAGCACAAGCUUAUGUGAAAAUUGCUUGAAUUCAAUUACAAGAUUGAAUACAAAAAAAAUAAAACAAGGUUGCAGAUGCUUUGAGCAGAAGAGAUUCUCUUAUGAUGGCAGUCACUGCAGUUACUCCUGCUUGGGCUUCAACUGUAGAAACCAGCUACACUAAUGAUGAUCACUGCAAAUCUCUGCUUGAGAAGCUCACUGUAUCAGCCAAUGCAGCACCCCCUUAUACUCUUCAUUCUGGCAUUUUGAGAUAUAAAGGAAGAAUAUAUGUGGGAUCAGAUGCUGUUCUUAAACACCAAAUCAUUGAUUCACUUCACAACUCUCCCAUAGGAGGCCAUUCAGGCAUUGUGGCUACUUAUCAAAGGGUAAAAAAGCGAUUUUAUUGGCGCCAGGCCAGGAGAUUGAAACUUUUCUACAUGAGUGUGCAGUUUGCCAAAGAGUCAAGGGAGAGCAUUGCCACUACCCUGGUCUCCUAGAUCCACUGCCAUUACCUACUUCUGCUUGGACUGACAUCUCCCUGGAUUUCUUUGAGGGUCUUCCCAAAUCAUUGGGCAAAGAAGUCAUAUUGUUGGUGGUGGACAGGUUCACUAAAUAUUCUCAUUUCAUUCCCCUUGCUCACCCUUAUACAGUACAAUCAGUCUCUCAUGCUUUCAUGGAUAAUGUUUUUAAGUGGAAUGGAUUGCCAAAGUCAAUAGUCUCUGAUAGAAACUGGAUAUUCACAAGUAACAUGUGGCAGGCCUUCUUCAAAGCACUGCAAGUGAAAUUGAGGUUUAGCUCUGCCUAUCACCCACAAUCAGAUGGCCAGACAGAACGUGUGAAUCAGUGUGUGGAAAAUUACUUGCGUUGCAUGGUUUUUCAGCAACCAAGGAAGUGGGCUAGUUUGGAUCAAGCAAAUGCCACUUGGGAGGAUGCCGACUUCAUUAAAGGUCUCUUUCCGGAGUUCUAUACAGCUCCUAUUCGUGGUUGGUGCCCUAAUUCCAACACUUGACAAUGCUUUGGGAGAGGUAUUGUCAUAUCUGAAGAUUACUGUACCUAACUCUCGAUUGAAUUCAGAGUGCUGCCUUUACUUCAUCUGCCGUGAACGGAGCCAAGAGGCUUGCGUUCAUUUCUUCAGUUACUCGCCUGUUUACUUUCCCCAGUAGCCCAGGGUCGGGAGCUAGGACUUCUGAGGUGAACGGUCCCUCAAAGUAACCCUGUAUCAGAGAUGCUAACUGGUCAUUACCUUCGAUCCUGUUGCCGUUUGAGUCAUUCAGAAACUUUAUUAUGUUCUUCUUUUUUCUCCGUUGCAAAAUGAUGUGAUGAAAGAAGCUCGUAUUUCGGUCUCCAUGGCGGAGCCAAUUAGCCCUUCCUCUUUGCAGCCAUUAAUCCGAGUGCAAACUCUCUCAAUUAAGUGUUGGAAGCAGUCGCUCCUAUCCACUCCUACCAGGGAGGGGAGCCCCAAGUAUUUGUCAGUGAGCGAUUCGGUGACAAUAUUCAGCAGGUUGCAUACCUCUUGUCUGUCCCCCCUAUCUGUCUAAGGGUCCUUGGUAAAACUCUCUUCAUUGAAGGCAGUACGUGGGUAUCCAUCUUAUCUACGGUCUGCGGGUCAUCCACAUGACCAAAACAAAGGGUACGAAAGCAGUGAAACCGAUAUAUCUGUUGAAGGCGAUCCCACCGGUCCUAUUUAUUAAGUUGCAAUGGCGAGUAUCUUUGGACCCCAAAGAGUUGUAUAAGUUGGAAAAUGGAGAUUUGCCUGUGACAUUGGCCGUUGGGCAGCUAGCUAUUGCAUUUGAAGGCUCCACAGAAAGAACCCGCAGGUACUAUUACGACAGGUGGCUUCGAAUCCAGUUUGUUAGUCGUUUGCAUCUCGGUUAACAAAAAUAAGCUUGAAUCCCUCCAUUCGUAGAUCAAUCAGCUAAAGUUGUUAAAACAAUGCCCCGGUAAAAAGGUAGCAGAAGGUCGUUCUUUCUUACUCGAAGUUGCACUCAGGUGCUGCCGUUUUAGAGCUAGGCGAUAUUCUCUGUGUAAACCAGUAUCGUAUCUGUUCGAUAUGGACCAUUCUAUAAGUAUAGUCAUUUCAGUCUUCCUCAAAGGAUCUCCGAUCUAUUGUGCAACCUUCCCUUCGAAACCCACCCCACACGAAUACUUCUACCCCUUAUCACAGCUCCAAUGCCCACAGGCAUCUGUCUCUAGCACAAAUCUUUUACUGAAAUUAGGGAGAACCAACACAGGGGCCUCAAUUAAAGCUUGCUUGAGAACAUCAAAGGAUUGCUUUGGCUUGUCCACACAAAUGGUACUCCUUUCUUUAACAAGUUCGUGAGAGGUCUCCUAAUUAUGUAUAUACAGGAUGAGUCACAUCUUGACCGGAGCCAUGCGGAGCACAAAAAGUGAAGAGAAAGGAUUUGUUCACCACUUUAAGCCAAAAGAUAGAAAUGAAAGAUGUUCCCAUAGAAUGAGAUUAGAUCCCGCAAGUGAGCUAUUUAUACCGAAGCUUACAAGAAGCAAAGUUGAAACGGGAGCUUUCCCACCACGGCAUCCAACUCUUCUCUUCCGUAAGCAAAGGGGCUUUCAACGAGAUAGGGAGCUGUACAAUUUCACCCGUGGGUGGGGCUGGCUACGCUUGCUAGAUUGGAUCAAAUAUACGUGUCCUACGCUAGGCGGAAUCGUUGUUUCACUCCUCCAAGCGUUCCUUGCCAAUGGGUAAAGCCUUUAUCUAUCACUUCGGUCGGAGACAUAUUAAUUACCUUUUUUAUCCUGGGACCCUUGAAAGCUCGCUUCCCUUCCUGAACUGAGGGAAACCGGUGCCUGAGAGAUCCGUUAUCUGCAGUCUCUGAGCUUGAUUGCACAUCUUUUCCUGCUCAUACAUGUGUUUUUGCACGCUUGAGACCUCCUCUUUCGCUUGGCUAUCCGAGGAAAGAUGUCUUACGAGGUGGGUUGGACAACGUACGUAGUGAGCCUGCUGCUAUCAGUGUGAAGAUGAGCAUCUAUCUUUCUUUUCAGGAUUUAGUGUGUGUGUGCUUGUUCUUAAGGGAACGUGCAAAUCACCCAAUCAUAUCAGGAUGGAUCCAAUGGGUGUGAUUUUUUUCUGUAUUGAUCACUUACCCACGCUAUAAGAAGAAGGGCGUCAUGGAAGAGUUUGGGGUCCAAAGCCACACCUUCUUUCCCCCAUAGGAACAGAGGUCAGGAGCUGCCGGCAGGGCGCUGCAUUCAAUCUGACUGAUGGCUCAAGAUAAGUACGAGACGUACUUGAGAUAGAUAAUUUAUGUAUUUCGCUAUUUCGAAUACCUAAACUGCUGCUAACAAGAAUAAGUACGGAGAGAUUGGAUCUCCCUGGCGUAGUCCCUGAGAAGGUUUGAAUUCCUCAAGACGCUCCCCAUUGAAAAGAACCGAGAAGGUAACUGAAGUCACUAACCUCAUCACCAUAGAAAUCCCACCUUCGCUGAAAAAAAGUGGGCUGGAUAGCCGUCCGGGCCAGGGGCCUAUCAGGGUACAUCUUAAAAAGGUCACACUUCAGAACCAGUAAAGGGCCCAGUCAAUUGCUCAUUCAUUGCCUGAGAUACUUUUCGAGGAACUGUCGACAGAACGAACAUCCUCCAUUCUUUCAGUACCUUCAGCAGUAUAGAUAUGUUUAAAGAACUCAUUCGUCAUCCCACUCAUCUCCUCUGAAGGGACAACGAAGGAUUGUCUGAAGUAGGACCUAUUCGUAGCUCAUUUCAAAUGGGCCAAAGAAACUAGGGCCACAGAGACCCCCCCCCCUGUGUCAUGAAAAGAGACACUUUCGGUAGUCACAAAACCCUAUUUUAAGAAAUAAGUCAUUAGAUCCCGUAUCAGCUAUAGCAGUGAAGUUCUCAUAAGCUUUCAUCAUGUCGAGCUUUAGUGCACACACCUGAUCAUCUCGUGCCUCUUAUAUAGUUUCUAGUUUAGGAGUCCGAGCUGGAAGAACAAAAGGUGGAGCUCCGCCCUAGUGUUACCCUUUGCCUCGCUCUUUAGAGGCAUGAGUGGUCACAACUCGAUGUAGUCUAGCAGUUCUAUUUGGCGCACGAAUUGCGUAUAGCAAAGUUGAAGAAGGCAUUCUAGGAGCUAAAGGCGUCUCACUCGUCUCUCAUUCGCUCGAUGCUUAAGUACCGGUUUGCUUCUACGUCUACGGUUGAACUUGAAGGCCUCGGAUUCCGAAACCUGUAGAGCUUGCACGGUGAAGAACAAGUACGUACUUCAUACGAAGAAAUGGUAGUCGGACUCCUCUGGUUUUCUCCACAGUAGGAGUAAGCAUAAUCCUAAAGCCGGCCCAAUGGGCUAUAUUUCUUUAGAGUACUCAAAAAGUAUGCUUUUGUCGGAGGGAGAUUGCCGGGUCUAUGUAGAAUAGAGAAGCAGCAAAAGAAAAUAAAUUGAGUAGCCAAAGGCCUCGUGCACAGUAUGGAAGGAAGAGGAAAAAUGCACGGUACGCAAUGUAUGAUGAUGAACGUAUGGAGUUAGUUCGGUGGGUUGGUUGGGGAGUAGGGCCGGGGGGAGAAACUUGUCCCUUCUUGAUGGCGAGUAUAUGCUUCGAUCGAUUCUUGUGCUCCCUAUGCGCGUGUUCUUGAUCACCGAACAAGUUACAAAAUAAGUUUAUGCGCUCCUAUCCUUGUUCUUGUGAGUCCUUGUGAAGCUACAUUGGUGAUGGUUGGUGGUAGAUGCGGAUUACAAGCGAGCUCUGGAUGCUACUCUUAGGGAUAUUAUUACUGUGCUUUUUUGCUAUGGUUAGUCAUGAUUACUGAUCAGUUGAGCAGUUCUUUUGAAUGUACCAAUUUUAUUUUUUCAUUUAUUUGUUUCCCCCCAUUUGAAACAGGGCUCAAGUCGCUUCCUGAGAUGCAUUUCACACCUGACUCACCUCCCACGCCUAAAAUGUCUCCAGGUAAACGUUUUUCUGCUUGUCUAGUAAUUCGGUGAAUCUGCGGCCACUAAUGCCAUUCAGAGACUCUUGGCCAUUUCGGCUUUCGCACCAUAUGAUCCCUGCUCAUCUGCCCACAACAAAACGGAAUUUUUUUAUUUUCACUUGCGGUGUUCUCUCCAUUUCUUGUUAUAUGCUGCUAUAGGGCUAUAGGAAUACAGAUUCAAACUUGAUUGUAUGAUAAAACUGAUUAUUGAUUCAAUUCUUCUACUCGCAGCAUCUGUUCUAUUAACUUGUAACUGCCUACUAAUUACAGUAUCGAGUGUCCUGGUGAUGCGGAUGCUAUAUAUAUAGUCUUCUCAAACUAUGAGUGCAAUGAUCUGUUAAGUUGUAACUGUACCUUCUAGUUUUUUAAUCUGAGCAAUCGUUGAUCAUCUCAUCCAUUUGAUCGUUUGAACACUACACUGGAAUUAAUAUCUUUGCGGAAUCGUUGAUCAUACUUCGUGUGUACUAAUUGAAAUCAGUUGUGCAUGUCCGUGCUGCUGCCGCCCCAGGACAAGUGAAGUGCCCCCGUCAACUAUGGAGGAGCUUUCGACGUCCGUGCCGCGCGAUCGGUCGGGAUCGGUGGCCUUCAGUUCCUGCCGGAUUUCCCUUGUGACGUUAGUCCUCGCAGCAGCAGCUGCAGCCUUGAUCACGUUGCUGUUCUGAUACAUGCUUGUCUGACCUCGCUCUUGAACUUGUGCAUGUCUGCUUCGUCUUUCUUGAUCGGUUCCUCGUGUUGCAUACAAUGAAGUGGUGUCAUGUGACGCUGGGCAUAAUCUCUGAAAACUCCUGACUGGUUCGGUGUGGUUUUGUUUAUUCAACACCAAUUGCCUUAGCUUUCUUUUUCUGAAGGAGACAGAGAAGAGAGUAGCUAGAUUUCUUUUUCUAUUUUGAUUUACAAAUGGUCCGGUUUUAUUUCAAAAUGGUCCGUACUUUUCGAUCUUUGGGCUUAUUAAGCUUAAGAAUCUUACUUAAUAGGAGAAAAUAGCCUCCUAAACAUAUGGCUAGCAACUGGUUCACCAGGAGUACGCAAGAAAGGCAAAAGCACUACGAAUUAUUGAUUUAGGAAUGGGAAUGGGCUAGAACCCUGGGUUCUUCCUUAUAUAAUUAAUGGUCUUUUCAUUCUAAUACUCUAUCCGAGAGUUCUCAGUAUUUAGCAAAGCUGUUCCUAUCUAACGGAUAAAAACAGGACAAAUGACAAAGACAUUGUUUGUGGAGAAAGAGGUGGCUUUUCCCGGAUGAAAUGAAACAUUUGAUUUGUGUAACAGGAGAAAGAUUUCCCACUCCUUAGUCAUAAAGAUAUGUGGCCAUGAAAAAGGGAGGGGAUUCAGUGGAACAGGAUUGGCCGGGCGGUAGAGUCGUGGAAACACUUGUUGAUUCCUAUUUUGGACCCUAGCUCCAUGGAACAAUAUGCUACUGCGGAAACAUGGAAGAAUUGCAAUCUUAGAUCAAAACACUAUGUGUGGAAAGCUUGAUAAGGGUCAGUUACUUGUACAUUUGAUUAGUAUGAGCCACUCACAUCGUUUUUUAAGGAUAGGUGGGAGUAGGACCCUACAAUAAAGAGCAGAUAGCCCACAUGAAUCAUGGGAAUAACAAUACGAGGCCUUUGACGAGUAAAGGAGAAAUGCAAGAUUUGGAUCCGCGAUUUCAACAAGUAGUUCGUGCUUCGUCGGCAGGGGAGACUAUAGGCCAUGAAAACCCACCCCUGGUAUCUCCACCUGUGGAUUGAGAGUCAAAAAGUGUGAAUUUCGUAUGUCCCGCUGGCACACGAUUUCGAUUACUUUUCUUGUUUCCCGUUUCGGAGAUCCGAUAAUGGAAUGCUAAAUCGAUAUCUGGGGUCGAGCCAGGGUACUUAUCCUCCCGUCUAUAAAUCAAUGACCAAUAAAAGACCAAAGCGGUGAUAAAUCAAGGGGCGGACAGGAGCUGCAUCGUAGCUAGGAACAGGUGCUGCACCGUAGCUAGUAGGAAGAAGUACAACAUAGCUACAUUCCCCAUAGGGUCGGCGCCCCUCUUCUCCAAUACAAAUUGAAUCAUAGCAAGGGCUAAGCUAUCUUAAAACCUACUAUCAAUUGAUAAUACAUAAAUGAUCCGGGGCUAGUGUUGGGUAGCCGGGCCCACUAGAAUUCAAGUGCUUCUUAUCGAUUCAAUACGCCCUUAACGGAUCCCCGUGCUUUAUCUCCAUUGGGUGGAGCAAGACCCUUGUCCUAUCUUUUCUUUACAGAGCAAUAGAAAUGAUGGUUGCCCCUCGCUGCACUGACCAAUGAUAUCUCAGAAGAGAGAAAGACUUCUAUAACUUGCCAAUGAUAUCUAGUGGGCACUACGAACUCCAGGCAUACUGUACUUGACCACCCUACUUUGCUUUGUCCCUAUUAGGCGAAAUCAAUACUUACUUUCAAUUGGUAGAGAGGAAGAAGAGAACUGACACUAGUAAUAGGUUGAUGACUUCUCUUAACAGAACUGACACUAGUAAUAGGUUGAUGACUUCUCUGACUUAAUAGCUGGCCGACUUCUCUUCAUGGAUCACCGUUCUAUAUAGUUAGGCGCAGCAUCGCGUUUAACCACCUAUCCCUAUUCCCUCAAUCGAUAUCGUCCAACUAUCCUUUUAUUGGGACAGCAGCAUACUUCUCGUUAGGGACAAUAGUUCCUAUACUUAACUAACCUCUGUGCGCAAUCACUGUUUGACACAUCAUUCUUUCAGCUUUUCGUUCUUGACGACUCUGUUUGACGGAGCCUGACCUUGAACUAGCUUUUUGCAACACAAACCACUAUCUUUACUUUCCUUUAGCAAUAGUAUCUAACUAUCAAUUCAUAAGAGUCAAACGGGUGGGUCCAUCCCAUCUAUCGACAGGUCCUGAUACCGGAUCUGGGAAACAAGCAAUACUCGCCGCAAUUCCUUAAUAAAAACAGACCUAUCUUCUCUUGAAAGACUGUCCUUUCCUCGCUUGUUAUUGUGAUAUCAAUGAAAGAAAGCUGGAUACUGACUUCUUCCCAAGAGCUCUAUCAGCCCUGAAUUCCUUAGCCAUACGACUCUUCCUUAGUUUCCUAAUGCUGGUGGCCCUAGCUAGUGGUGAGACGGGGCAUAUACUAUUCUCGGUCUUAUAACGAAGAGGUUGCCUAGUUUGAACCGAACACUGUACUUGAUCUCUCGUCCUAUCACAAACAAGUCUCUUCCCCCGAGUCCUAGUAGACUAGUCCAAGUAGUCCGGGACAAUAGCGUCCCGUCUCUUCGCUGACCCCUGGCACACAAUCACUAUAAGACAAAGCAAGACAAACCUCUCUUAUCCUUCUCGGCUAGAAGUUACAAGUUUCCUGUUCCGGUUUCGGCUUGAGGGAAGUUCCUGAAAUCGAUUCAAUUCUUAUCUCCGAUUUCGAACUCCGGCUGGAUUCUUAUGACCAAGAGCUAUUUUAUUGGUCAGAAGAAUGGAAGGACAACGAGAAGAUGGUUCGGUUGCUCCUGCUGGAAUAUUCCAUUUAUUUAAUACUCCGACUCGCGUAACCCCGAAUGGCAAUGUUGUUAUUGCGGUUGGUCAGAUCAAUAAGACAACAAGGGAGUCAGAAUAUUCUGAUAAUAGCAAACAGGGCUUUGGAAUCUAUGGAAGGAGCCUUCAAUGCUUCUCCAGUGUCAACCAUUAGUCGAUAACAGAAUGAAAUGCCACAAUUAAGUUGAAAAAGAGAGUCAUUAAAAGAGGCAUGCUUGAAAAAGAGUACAGAUAAUAUGUUAUGGAUGUGAGGAGCCUCACCCAGUACUUUUCUUACUAAACUAAAAAACUCUACUCUCCUUUCACAGCCAACCCACCCAUUGCUUUUUCGAGCUCGAUAAAAAGGAAAGUUCACGUGCCAAUCCUUACCAUUGAUAACUGUAAUUACCAAGCCUAAUCUUUCACUGAAUACCGAGUAAAGCAAGCAAGAAAGAGGGAAGGAGCAGCUGUUUUUGAGCUAGGCUCGAUCCCUUUUUCAUCCACUUCUCGCUAUUUGUAAUUCUACUUGAAUUAGUUCUUCCUAAGUUUAGUGAGGUGAGUACUGCAUCCAUAACUAGAGGACUUGCUUUUCUGCUUGGCUCCCAGGGGAAGUUGGAUUGGAUAAGAGGAAUUGAAGCGCAAGGAAGGCAGUCGGUAUUCAAACAACUAUUCAGAGUUCCCAACUCUGGGUAAAGGAAAUCUGUACUUGACGACUGAACCAAAUCCUUUGCCUUUAUUUAUUCUAUUAUUUUGAUAUAGAUCAGCUGAAAACAAAACAAAAAUACUACUACGUUGGGACAAUGACCCACCUUUCUCUACUCAACCUGUCAUCUUCUCUCCUCGCUCCCUGGGACAAAUAAGACUAUUUAUUAAGUGAUAAACAAGAGAAACUAGUGAUAUUAUCUAAGCUUCUGGCCAUGUCUGAUUGGCAUUCAAGUCUGCCUUCCAUUGCUUGAAAAGGCCUAGCACCGUAAGUAGCAAUUGGCUAUGUCCAAACUCAAACGUCGUAUUUUAUCUAAGCACAGGAGUCGUAAUAAGGAAAGAAGACAUAAGAAUGGGAAGUAUCCGCUAGUUAUAACGUAGUAUAAAGAGAGCUAUUUCAUGGAUCUUGGUCACAAUAAAAAGAAUCCAAUAAUGAUCUAUCAACUAAAUGAGUUUAUUAUAUAAUCCCGUAUCUUCAAGGUUGUUAAGAUGAUUUAGUAGAUGUGUCAGUAUCGUUUUCAUCUGCCGUUGGGAGUGACUGCUUUGCUAAUCUAUCCUUUUAUCCUUCUUUUCGGAGACAAGCACAUAUUACCGUAACCUAGUGAUUAAUAUAUCCUGUUGGUACUACUUCGUCGAGCAAUCAAUCCUUUUUCCAUUCUUGUUCUGAGGUUGUCAGCUUCCUCCGAUGGCACCACUUGUACUCUCUGUCGGAAUCUGUAGACAUAGUUUCUGGGCGUCUUUAAAAACUGAUCGACAUAGUUGUCACACACAAACCUGCGCAACGGCUUUGGAGUAAAAGAAUCUCCUGCCCGGUCACACACAUCAUCUCGAGCGCGGAAUCUACUACUCUAACAAGAUACUCGGCUCGGGUAAAUCAUGCUUUCGUUAUGCGAGGAAAGUGAAAGGAAAGAGGGAAAGGGAGACACUGGGCAAUCCGGAAUCGAUGAAAUCACUGUUUUUUCGCCUUGUAAUAUGUCCGGUUACAUUCCAAAGAUGAAUCAGACCAGGAGAUAGAUAAGCGCUAUGGCGGACACAUGAAAUAAGAAUUUGAAAAGUAAUGAUCAACUUUAUGGAUCCAUAGGUAGAUUCACUUGUGAAGCUAUGGGAUGGGACAAGAUUCAAAAGUACCAAAAGUAAGUUAAAUGGGACGCUGAGUUCAUUGCUGCGAUCGAGGGUCCAAAGCCAGCCAAUUUGAUGACCGCGUAGGAACGGGUUCCGAAUGCUCACAAUAAUGUAGUUGGAAAUGACAAAAGGCUCCUAAAUUGAUACCUAAUAAUAGCUUAGCAGCUCCUUCGUUUUACUAAAGAGCCAAGUUCGGACAAGCAACUCGGAAGGAGGAAUGUGUUGAGAUGCCUAUGCCUAAGAGAGAUAAGCGGAGGACGUAUGAUAGCCGAGAGGAUGUCGGUAAACGACGGAGUUUAAGGAGUUGUUUUUGAAUUCGGCAUGGCAUAUUUCAUUUUUUUUAAUGAGAACGUCGUCUCCUUGCUUACCCGCCUGGCCAAUGGAAGGAAUUAAUUACCUUGGUCAGUCAGCGAAAGAAAGAAUUGAUCCAGUUCAUCAUCCCAAUCCUUCCUAUUAGUUUCAUUAAUGAAUUCAGCCCCAGAGUGUUGGCAAUCAAGGGCCAAGAAAGAAUCCCAAGUCUAUCCUAUCUCGCCACGGUCGAAAGCACAAUCCCUUUCUCUUCCUAUACCGAAAUCGUCGUUUCAUUCCUCCGCAACUUCUAUCGCGGACAUGAUCCAAUCUACCUUGCAAGACAGAUUAAGAUAUAACUUAAGGCUUUCCCAAGCUGGCGCAUAACCUCUGGUAGAGGCAUUCACCCAGAGACAGAGAAGUGGGAAACCGCGGAUGAAAAUAAUACCGAGGUCUUUGAUAGCAAACUUCUACGCGAGCUUUCUAACUAAAAGGAAUCUCUUAUUCAUAUGGCAUAAAAUGGAAAAACUUGAUGGAGAUUUCUUCUCAAUUUCCAUGGUACAGUCCCUUUGCAUGCUACAGUCCAUUACUUACUACCUGAAUUUGCUAUAUACGAAAUUAUGACAUCUACGGUACUUGUCGUCUACUUCUGGUGGAAGCAAUUCCAAAGGUGAAGAUAAUACUGAGCCGAAUAGUAAUGAGGGGAAUGCAAAAUCUAGCAAAGGUAAGAAGGGUCAAGGAAGAAUAGCAGUGACUUAUAAAAGGAAAGCACCGAAUAAAAGGAAGGAGAUCCGUCUUGAUUUUUUGCAUGUGGUCAAUGCGUUUGCUGAUUGAUAACUGUCUAAUCUUAAGAUGGUUUUGUGGCACGUUACAAACAUACAUAUACAGUCGAAAUAUAGUUGUGUUGAGUUAGGUUGAAGAAUUUUUACCAGAUUUUUCAAAUGAGAUAUAGUGCUUUCUUUGUUCGGUAGGAGAUUUUGCACUUUCAUAUUCUAGUUCCUCAUUUGAGCGUUCUUUUGCUCUGUUGGUGGGGCAUAAACUCAUAAAUAGUUUUUGUUUUUUCUUUAAAUAAUAGUAAAAGUAUGCAUUCAAGUAGUAGCUUUUUCUAAAUAGUCGAGUAAAGUCGAGUAGGGCUGGCAACAAGGACUAGGAAGAUACGGGCUAGUUUGUUUUUUUAGGGGAAGGCUUUAUGCAAGAUAUGCACGUGAGUAGGUCAGUAUAUGCGUAUUUGCCAAUAGAGGAAAACACGUAGUAAGUAGGCUUGCUUUUUCGUAGGGAUAGGUAGCUUGACAAGGGAUGCCUGGGAUAGCACAUAGGAAAAGUAUAGAAGGAAAGGCGGCGGGAAAGUAGCCAUGGUCAAGGUAAACAAGUACUAGGUCUUUUCUUUCCGAAGCAAGUCAAGGACAACUAGGUCAGUCUGGGGGGGGCAAUCCUCUAGAUCGAUACUUCUCUUCCACAGACUAAACCAAUUAAUAAACAAUUUACAGAGUAUUCUUGCAUUCCUAUCUGGUCUGCAUCUCUCCUAUCGAAACUAUAAUAUAACCUUAAUGGAAGGGCCCUGGUUCUGCCUUGCCAAACCGACAAAUCCAGAAAUUGUAGAUGAAUUCAUCGGGCUUAACGUGUGAUUUCGUUAUAAUUGAACAGGCGUCGUCGUCCAGCCGUGUCGAGUUGGGAUUAGAGGAGAGAGCUCGAAUGGAUAGGUCCAGUGAGGCGGGUGUGGAGCACGAAGGAUUAAGAAGGUCCUCUUUAUUUCCGGAAUCAACAAGAAAGACUUAGCAGCCCAAAUAAAGUAACCCUUUACCCCUCCCGAGUCUAUCGUAUCCAUAGUUUCAGUGGGUAUCGAACUGCGAAGCGAGGAAGCUAUUUCAAUUGAACGGGCUUACUUUCUUAGUUGGUUCUUUUGUAGAACAACCUUGGUAUGAAGCUAGACGAUUCAAACUAUAUAAGCAUAAGCAAUUCAAACUAGACAUUUCGACCUUCAUCCCACCCGAUAAAUAAUAAGCAAAGAGCUCGUAAGUCGGGCAUAGAGAAAGCGACUCCUGAGAUUGAGGGGGAUAGGAUACUAUCUCCUAGCGCAUAUAUGAAACGAUAGCUGGUUUUCUACCGGGGGGGGGGGGCUUUCGAUUGUAAUUUUUACAAUUAGUAGUUCUUGCUUUCAUAAACUCAUAGUUAGUGUAGUUUGGUGUAGUCUUUUUUUCCGGGACGAACUGGAUUCGAACCAGAUAAGAGCCGUGCGUUCCCUUCUUUCCAAGCGUCCCUUUGGUUUCGCAGUUCCUGAAGAGAGGCAACCUCUAUCUCUUUCUCUACAUCUGCGGGCCGGUAGGCCGGCCAACUAACUCUUCAAAUGAAGCCCUUUAUCUUUCUAACGAAAAAGAGAAUGAUGAUGAUGGCUACCAUUCAUUCCUCUAAAAUGUUUUAGUCCUGUUUUUGGUAGCAUACCGAUCCUUCCAUGUUUCUAGAAUAGCAUUUAUCUGUCUGGAGUCCUGCGACUCCAAAUGAAGUUUUAGUUCUAUCAAAUCCUCCAAGCAAUUGAUAUUCUUUGCAUUACUAUGCAUGAUUUGCUCUAUUCGAUCUUGAUAGCCUGGCAGAUUCCCAGGAUCCGAAAGGACACCAUCGGGAAAAGGCUUUUGCGAUCCUAAAUAAAAUAGUAAUGCCCCAUUCAAACUGGUAUUUAAUUGGAGCAUACCCAGAACGGCGUCCUUAGCAUUACUGUCGGGAUCGUCAGCUGUUGGCGGAGCUGGAUAUUUUUCUCGGAUUUCAGCUAGGGUUCUAGCCAUACUUCUUCGGAAGAGCGCGCCCUCAAGUUGUUGGUGGAAUGGAUUUGCUUCGGCCGGAGUAGAGUGGAAAUCUACUGACGGACGAGGCUGUUGCUCUACGCGCGGCUGUUCCUGCUCGAGCUGCUCAUGCUCGGGCGGCUGUUCGUUAAGGUCAAAGUCAUUUCUAUUCAUGAAUGAGACCAAGACCCCUGCCUUGGAGGUUUCCUCCUCCGAACGCGAAGGAGUUUCAAGCCCCCCUGUGCCCACGGUUGCACAUCGCUCCUGCCCCCAGAGGGCCGGUACCAUUUCUUCAAUCAGCGUGGCACCAUAUAUCAAAACAUAUUGUAAAAGUGACAGAAUCACUUCAAGUAGUGCUUGCCUAACCUGAUCUGUCACGAUCAAGGAGGGAUCUACUACUAAAGCAGCUAUCACAAUGAUAACUAUGAAAAGUCCCCCCCAUUGAUAAAAACCAGAAUCUGAUGAUAGAUCAAGUCUUACCGAAAUUGGAUUUCCUUUUCGUGCCAUAUGUCGCUUAGACUUUACUUUUUCCCCCUCUGCCCUUUCAAAAGUGGUUACUCCCGAUCCGAAGCACCCCUUUUCCAUUCAUAGAGAGAUCCAAUCGUCAAAAUCAAUAAAAAGGCCAUCAUCGACCAAGAGAACGAGAUAUUGACUUUUUUUACAUCUGUAACUACAUUCUCACAUUUCUUUUUUGAUCUCAUGACUUUUUAUGCGAUCGGAAAACGAAUGAGAUCAGAAAGGCCAUCAUUGGGGCAAACAAUGCAAUAGCUUCGGUGAGAGCAAAGCCCAAAAUGGCAUAACCAAAUGAUUGUUUAGCCAAUGAUGGAUUUCGCGCCACGGAAUGAAUCAAAGAACUGAGGACGUUUCCAAUACCGACAGCAGCUCCGGCUAAAGCAAUUGUAGCAGCUCCGGCNNNNNNNNNNNNNNNNNNNNNNNNNNNNNNNNNNNNNNNNNNNNNNNNNNNNNNNNNNNNNNNNNNNNNNNNNNNNNNNNNNNNNNNNNNNNNNNNNNNNUUCUACUUCCGUGCCGGAGGAAAUGGGAUUCGAACCCAUGAUACAAUCUUCUUGUAUGUCGAUUUAGCAAACCAAUGCCUUAAGCCACUCAGCCAUACCUCCAAGUUGUUGAUCGGAAUUGGAUGUGCCGGGUUGGUUGCCCGAAGAUCCACUGCGUAAGCCGUAGCGCGCGUACUCUUCUUUACUGAGCGAGAAAGACUCUAUCCAGAUCUAUGGAUCUCCCCAGCGUCCAAGCGAGACCCCAUCCAAACCAAAUCCGCCACUCGUUGGGCGAGGCCUUGCUUUCUAUGAACACCUCACCACUGAAUGAGAAACUUAGCCUCCGACCCGACCAAGAGAGAAGACAGGGUCAAGCCGACGCCGCCCUUCCUCACCUGCCUGAAUGGAAUGAAUAUCUCCUUCGUCUAGUCGAGAAGGGAAAAAGCCCGGCGGGGAACAGGACCGUGACUCUUCUAAACCAUUACAUGACGAAGAAGUCCAUUCUCGUCAUGAUCGAUCCACGUCCUACCAUAGUGCCCGGAGAACCUGCUUCUAGAAGAUUCUAUAGUGAUCCACUAGAAUCGGCCUCGGGUGACGCCUCCCUAGUCGUCGAAAGAUUUCAUCCCUCGCUCGGUCGUUAAGGUGGGGUGAAAACUGCAAUUAAUGCUCUAUCUCCGUCAUAGAAUAUGGGAUACUCACUUUCAAUGGCCUCGCAUCCCCAGAGCCUCAGACUGGCCUGCCCUUCCAAUCGGGGUUAUAACGGGUCCGGUAUCAGCAACACCAGCCAAUCGUGUUGGUACGGUGGGUUCCCCAUACCCACUAUUCGGAAAAAAAGCUUGCCAUAGCAGCUCAAACCUCCGAUCGGGAAAUGGGACUUCUAACCGGUCCUAACCCCAAUUCCAAACAAAUUGAUUGGACCGAGGUUCGUGCAGGGAGAGAAUAGAAACUAAUAACGAUGGAGCAAGAAAACGGAUGCGCUAACACGCAACGGCUUUCGCGCUAGUUGCUCAAUCCGUUGCUUGUUUGGUUCGAGGUUGAGCUCACCCGCCGCCCUACGUCAGUAGUCUUCCUAACUUCUAUUCCCUUUUUUUUGCUCUAAGGUAAGGUCCUUCAAGAACAGCAUUGCGGUCGCAACGGGGCUCUGGGUGAAUAUUGUCCGCCCGUAUGAGCCGGGCUGUGAAUAUUUAUAGGUCGGGGUCUUUACUGAAAAACCACAAUACUACACUACAACAAUUUGAAGAAAUCCGCAAGUGACUCUAAUUUGAAUUCACUAGUCGUGUUGAGUUUUUUUUUAUUUCAAUAUAAAAAAUCUGCCAAUCCCGAUAUUCCCACAUUUCAUUCUGGUCCAGUGUCCAUUCCUGAAUGAAAGAAAUGAGCUUUGCCCCUUCACUCACUUCUGAAUGACUCCUUUAGCACUCUCUUUUUUAUAUCAAAAAAUAGAAACAGUUUACCUUUACCAUACCUUCCAAGCAAGAGUGUUUUAUUGCAAGAUUAAGUUAUUACUGAACAAAGAGAAAUUCUCAUUAUAAAGGAUGAGAGAAAUUCGGAAGCACUUUUUUCUUAUUCUAGCAGACGGAAUUGAAUUGGUCUAAUUUAGGACUUUCCAAUCGAUUUUUAUCUUACCUAAUUCUAUCUACGCCCAGGGGGUAGGUACGUCGCAAGCUCUGGGCAGCUAUCUUAUUCCAAAGAAUCUCGCUCCCUAAAAGGUUGCCGAUACCAUACCUCUAUUGAACCCUACUGGAUCCAAUUGUUUAAGUGUUUAGUCGAGAGGAACCACAUUGACACCAUGCUUGUGCUAAGCCACAGCUCCAUCAAACUAAUCUGGAUUUCUUCUUGUUUACGAAUAAUGGGGCAUCUGCCUAACCCUAUCAAACCUCUCUGCAACUACUUCUCUCUGUUCUCAGCAGCCCGAAGGAUUUUUCUAGUCUCAAAGUCCUAUUAGAACUCCCGCGCUUGCUCCUUUGGAGCCAAAUGGAUCCGAAUUUCGGUAAGAUAAUACAAGAAUCGUAUUUGGUUGGGUUCUAACUCUGCUGUUCAGUCUGGCGCGGGUGUGAUACCGGUGAAGAAGCGAGUAGUUGACAGUCAGGGAAGUAGAUUCCUUUAAGGAGAGAAAUUCAUUGGUUUAGCCGUUAGGCGGAGCUUCUUUACACGCCGGUAGCGGAACAGCCCAGGCAGCUUAACGUGCUCUUGGCACAAAGGUAAUAGAAUGGGAGUCUGACGACACCCGGUACUCGGGAUCUCCUGCUUGAAGAAGCAAGGAAUUUCAAUUACUCAGCCGUUGAAUAAAAUAAACUAGAUACCCAUGUUUCCAAUAUUUACUUCUCUUUACUUGCAGGACCUGGCCUAAGCAUAAAGUAGAUUUGCUGCACAAGCUCAAGUGGAGGAGGAAGCAGGGGUGGCGAACAAAAUGUUGGUAUGGAAGAUCUCUUGCUCCCCCCCUGAAGGGUUCUUAGAUUACCAAGUAAGGGAGGGAGGUAGGUACCAUGGUUUCCUUCUUUUAUUGAAUACCAGUAACGCGAGUAAACAUUUAAGUGAGAAGUUAGGUAAGCGUUGCCAACGGCCAAAGCCUUUAAUCUUUACUUCUUGACUAUAGUAAUAGUCAAUAAUGUCACUAGAUUUCGGCAUAAAUACUAGCCAGGUACCAUUUCCCAAACUUGAUUUCCUUUUUAUGCACCUGUUUAUGCACCUGGGUCAUUGUUCACGAACUAAGACGGCUUAGCCGCCUUUCUUUGGGCCGUAUGAAGGAAGUACUUCAACGAAUGGGUAGGUUGCCAACCCAACAUUAUAGGCGGGAAGUUCUCCUUUCUCCAAGUAUGCUCAUUAGACCGAUAGGUGAGUAGCUAGUAUAGUAGUAGCCAAUACUCAAAACCGAUAGUAGAAGGGUCGGUGGAUGGCCCUUGCGAAAGUGGCCACGCCGCAUCCCUUCAGUAGCCAAUCCUUUUUCUCAACGAUGCAGUUCGCUUGGAACAUGGCACAAGGUGUGACGUUCCGAGCGGUGGAGGACAACCUGUUUGUUGUUCCAGUUUUCUGCCUUGGCGACUGGCAGAAGCUCAUGGAAGAAGGGCCGUGGCUGUUCCGCAACCAUGGCGUGUAAAGAAGCCUUACGACGGGAUGGCUAACCCGCGAUCUGUGGUUCUGAACCAGAUUCACGUCUGGUCGCAGAUUCAUAAGAUCCCGGAACUGUUCCACCUGGAAAACCUGGUGCGGGAUCUGGCUAAUAAGAAGCAACAAUAGAGAAUCUCGCCUAGCUCGAGGCUGCGCCUCAGUGCCCUCUGUAAGUACUUUCUAGUAAAAAGAACUACCUUUCAAAGCACAUACCAUUAUGGCUAGCUAAAACGAAAGAAUGAGAGUACAAGGUAUGGGUCUACGCUUCCAGCUUGCUCUAGAAAAACGGAAAUUGGAUCUCUCUCUGGUGGGAGCCUGGCAGCGGGGAAAACGGCACCUGCAGGGGUCCAGGUCUCCAUGAUGAACAACCACGACUUUGAUCUUAACGAGCUGCCGCCUGAGCAUGAGCAGCUCGUUCAGGAGCAGCCACUGUUGAAAAUAGCGAGCCUCUAGAGGAUGACGCUGAUACAUCAUUUGAUUUGUUUCGGGAUGCAGAAGAACAGCCUGAUGAGUACAAUUAUGAUUAUGAUGACUAUGUUGAUGAAUCCAUGUGGGGAGAUGAGGACUGGACAGAACAAGAACAUGAGAAAGCGGAAGAUUACGUGAGCAUCUAUGCUCACAUCUUGUCCACCCCAGUAAGUGAACCUUUUGUAUCCUUUUGCUUAUAUUUUGUUGUUCGUUCUGUAAAUGACCUUGAGUUGUUUUUCACAUUCUUUCUACAGGUAAUUGCAGAUAUUGACAAAGAUGGUGUACAUGAAAUGGUGAUUGCACUUUGACUCAAAAGCACUAUUCGAUAAGACGCAGUAGAACUGUGCACCCGUUUUUGUUUGAGUUUGAGGCGACCUAUACUAAACUAUAAUAGCAAGGAGAGACAGCAGCUGAUACCAGAUCAUACUACAGUACAGCUAGUGCGUGCUAAAACCCUCCUUGUGUACUAGGCUUAUGAAUAAACUAAACUGUUGAGACGUCUCUAGUGUAGGUGACAGGGAAGCCAUGCUCGUUAGAAGAGAAAACAGAUGGUUUGAGCAAGCAUGGGUUCAAGCUCUAGUGGAUGGGUUUGAUAGCUGAACGCAAGGAUAAUUCAUCUACGUAGCUAGUUGGUUAUGGUGGCGGAGAAGCCCCUCUUUAGCUAGAUUGGGCUCCUUUACUACUUUAUUUAACCCGGGGUUAUGCCUAAAACCGGUAUCUUAUGCGUGUUCGACUAGUUCCAUUUCUGAUUCUCCUUCUUCGCUGGGGUCUACAUACGAAAGAAUGGAACACUCGACAGCUUCGAUACUCAAAUAACCAGCUCAUUAUGCUUAGGUUGGGUUAGGAAAACGAAGCUUUCCAAGGGACUAGUUCUUUCACGCAUCUAUUUCUCCAUCCGUUCUCUUCACAUAAGAAGCCAGCCGCCUACUCCUACUAUUGGGUCGGUUGGUCGGUCAAGUGAACCACGCCUAGCAGGUGGGUAUGCCGAUAAGAUUCCUUUGUUCGACGUACGUCCAUAUGAAGCGAGCGCUUCAAAACAAGGCUAUUAUGCUGAAACUAGGGCUCCCUCUGGACGGGUAGAGCGAGAGGGAUAGCAAGGACUUGAAAAGGGAAGGAAGGGUCUUAGAACUACUGAAACAGUAGUAGAACUCUUCCAAAAUCCAAAUAGGAGAGUGAAAAACAAAAAGAAGACCAUUGGGUUGGGGAAGACUCCCUCAAUCACUCUGCUGGGCGAUGCUUCUUACUCUACCUUUCAAUUCCUUUGCCUUUCUUCUUCUGAUCGAUCCAAUGGUUCGGACUAGGACGCGUAAACCCCGAAGGGAGAUUGACCCUACCUAAGUAUUUUCUUAGAUAGAAGUGGUUGGUCAAGUGUGAGUCACGCCGGGGCGGGUAGACCCACUUUUAAUAGCAACGCCCAGAUCAAUGGAAAAUGGAAGUUUCUAGAAUUGCUGCUCUGUUCUGUUCAAGAAGUCUUUCUCCAGGGUUCGGUUCAGAAGGCGGGAUGGAAGAGAGAGAAUGGGCUCAUCGUGCGACAAGGUCGAUCGAUCACUCAAACUGUUCGGUAUCUCUACAAUUGAGUGAGCUGUGUUGCGAAGGAAAAUGAUGAAAUUGCUUACUUUUCACAGGCGUGAAUUCUAUCUUCGAUUAGAUAGUUUCCAUGCUUUUGAUAAAAAGAUGGGUUGGUAUCUGAAUGAAAGUCGGUAAGCAAUCAAUCUAGUGCUGUCCUCGGCAGACCAGGAAAUGUAAUAAACUUUGGAGCCUCAUCAUUGGAAAGAUUGACAACUUAACGGUCUGAAAAACUAUUCAAAGAGUGACUUUUAAGCCCCACUGGUUCGCUUUAUUUUCAGCGGACAUUUCCUCCCUCGUCAGCAGCUUCAUUACCUGCUAAGUCUGGAAGGGUAGUAAAAUCACUCACAACAAUCAAUCUUUUCUUAUGAUACUGAUACGAUGCAAACGGUGACACCCCCGGAUAAUGUGUCUGUGCAUUUGUGUCUGUCUUCCCUUAGAUGUGAGGAAUCGAAUCUCUAUUGAAAUCUGGAAUCACAAGGUAUCCUUUCUUUAAAAACACAUGAACGGGCGCCCUGAAUGAAUAAGAAAUCGCUGCUAUAACAGAGAGUUGCCCCAGAUCAUACAAUGUGGUUCUCUACUUUCGGCUGGCUGGUAGAUCAGCGUAUUUAUACGAAAGAGUAGACAAAGGUUCUGACAGGGGUAACUACUACCAAGAAGCGAACUCAGAGAGAUGAAGAGAGAGAAGUUAGACGCAACCGAUCAUCGGAGGAAGCAGGCUUACAAGAAACUGAUGGGACGAUCGGAAGAAGAGAGUGAUAACAGGUUUCUAGUUGACAACCUUCCGCAUUUCUUAUUGGGAUAGAUUUCAUACAUUCCUAUUUCCUUUACCCUCCCAUGAGGAAAAGCUGGUGUGAUUAAGGUUAUCUAAAGAAAAGCUCAUAGUGUUAUGCCUUGUAGCUUAUUCCACUCUCUAUAGUAGUUCCCUUCGAUUCAACGCAGUGAAGACAGUUUCAUCGGGUCGAUGGACCCUUGGUUGUUUUUGUGAUAAGUCGCUAUUAUCAAAUAAAUAGUCAUUUCUUGCUCGAUUCGAGAGGUGAUUUCAUUCCACAGUGACAAUUCAUGUUGAACGCGUCCUCCGGCAUUUACGAUUCUUCCUACAGAGGGCACUACUGGCAAAGAAUAACCUUUCCACCCGGCGAGAAAAAGAGACAGAGGUUUGCACUUGGUCCUCUUGGUUAGGAUGUAGAGGGGAUCUAUCAACAAUCCCGUCGUCUUCUUCCAGCUUUUUCCUCUGAAUUUGAUAUACUUCAAAAACGAAUCACUCUUUUCAGUAUGAAUGGCUCACUCUCCCAUUCUUUCCGGCUAGGGCAGCAGCUAGACCCAUAUCUUUUGAUGGAGAGCAUCGAUCGAGAUCCUUCGGUGAAAGCUAGAACCAACUCUGCGAGGAAAGCGGAAGCAAACAGUUAUGAUGUGGUUGAUAGUGUUUUUAGGGAUAACCUAAGUCGGCGUUACCCGACAUAGUCAACGGGGUACCUUCAUUCUUUAACAAUUCCGGACAUAGGAACAAUGAGCUGUCUCCACGGCUUCUCUUCCAAACCAAUAUCGCAAUGGAUCUAUCUUCAGCUUAUUCUCUCAAUCAAUGAAUGCGGGUCAUCGUGGAGAAUCAGGAGAAGUGUAGACUAUAAGUAGCCAAUUUGCAAUUCAUUUCCUUGGCAAUGACGAGUGAUGGUAUCUCGAAGCCAUUCAUCUUAUCUCUGCAGCAGGAGAUUCUUCACCGGACAAAAGAUAAGGAAAAGACAAAGAAAUCCCAUGGGUAGUUUUUGGAAAAACCUAUUCUGUAGGAGAGAGAGGCCUACCUAUGAAAACUAGUAUGUAUCUUUUUCUUGGUUUAAGCAGUGCAGGAAAUUGUCGGUCCUAAAAACAAUGUGUCCCCAUGAUCAUUUUACAUCACGAUAUCUUUUUCUUCUGGUUAUGCGUUUUCCUCUUCACUUUUAUUUUUAUUUAUUUGAAGGAAUCGUCCGGGCAGAAACGGGGAAGAAUCUCUUCUGUCGUAGAGGCCUCGUCGAGUGCUUCCGCUACGCCAGGAGAUGAUGAUCCACGAAAAAACAAAGUGGGACGUCAAUACGCCGAUGGAAAAGAUGGGUUUCGGUCGGAGCCAUCCGCAAGCCGCACCCCGCCCAACCCAGAAGUACCCUCCAUUUCGUUGUUGAAAAAGCAAAUAAAGAAUGUUCUGAGAUCCUGUCGAAAUCGUAAGCUGCCCGAAACCAAAUUGGAAGAAAUUUACAGGGAUCUUAACCUGGAAAAUGCGAGCUAGGAAAAACGGGUAAAAAAAACCAGGUCCUCGAGGGCAUUUCAAGGCGACGCCUUUAUUUUUUAAAUAACAUGAAGGAUAAACCCCAUAUUGACUUAAUUGUGAAAGUCCACGAUUGGGAUCGCGCACGAAAUAGAAAUUUACUUGUGUAGGUUUCUCAUAGCAAAUAGAGAAACCGAGGCCCCUACUUACCUACCGGGUAGGUGGGGGGGAAGAAGAGUGGGAACGAGGGCUUCUUUCACUUGUUUGUUUUCCUACAACGGUAUCUCCGAACUCAACGGCUCCCACGAUUCGGAGCGAUAGCGAAUUCAUACGAGGACUACGAAGCGAAUAAUUGCAUUCCUUCCAGGAGGUCGAGCGCACGCUUUCCUCGGUUUCGAAUCAAGGGACAAAGAUAGAUCCUCGGUAACGGCAAAGGGGAUAGCCUUGCUUUUGAACAUUCAUGUGCAUAUAUUUUCAUUAGAUGUGCAAUCGAAAUCAGUAGGAGAGAAACUUUCAUCCCUAUAUUUCCACUGAAAUGGAAUUAGCGAUACCUUUGCUUUUAGUUUGAAUUCAUGAAUCCUGUUUCUAGUGGCGAGUAACUACUACGAAAGGUACGGAAAACGGGAAAGGCAAAGCACAGGAAAGAAGAAUAUAUUCAAUAAUGUCAUCCUUGUUUCGGUACCGGAUUCAACUUGUCGAGGCUUCUGCUCGUAACGUCACUCACUGGAUCAAAUCAAAGGGCUCGGUUUCUGCUCCUCGGCAAAGGCAAAGUCAAUUCAAUAGGAAUCCGAAUCCUAAAAGGCAAGACCCAAACCACCGGUCGAUCAACAGUUCUUCUUUCACUUCCAUCUCUUGAUACCUGUUUUCUUGCUUUUCUUACCACUGCUGUAGUGAACCGCAUCUCUAAGCACCGGGAGUCGUGAACCGCGCACAAGGUCCUUCUUAAACUAGAAAUAAGUGAAAUAAUUGUUCUGGGUCACCUUGGCUUUUGUGUUCAGUAGUUAGUAGGGGAAGUUGCCCGGCUUGGUAUCUCUCUUCCCUGUAGAAAACCAAUCACAAGUCCCUCCUUAUUUUCACUCAAAAAAGCUGGAAAAAAGAGCAAAUCUCGGAUAGCCUAACUUGUUUUUUUGCCCUGGAAAAGGCAGCUACUAUCCCUGCUGGAUUUCCAGAAAACGGAAUGUACCUAGGGAACCCUAUUGAUCAGAUCAGAGACUGAACCUAGUGAUCUUUCUCCUGCUGGCAAGCAUCGAUACCUGUCUCCUAAUGAAUUGAUCUUCUCUUGGGCUCUGAUUCACACAAUCGGAAAGCCCUUGCGAUGUGGGUCACCCUUUUCCUCUAUACAUCUGUUCAGCAAAGGGGGCUUGCUAUUCUCUGCAAUUGAAGGUUGGGCCUACAUAUCUCUUAUUUGUGUGGAUCAACCAUCCAACCUUUCUUCUUUCUUUCCAUAAAAGCGUAGGUAGAAUGCGUAUAGUAAUGGUAGAGCUGAUGUAUGGCUAAGCAGGGCUGAUGGAGCUCUUGGAAAGAAGUCAGUAUCCAGCUUAUCCCUAGUCUAGCACUCUGCUGUGAAGUCAGAAACCCAUUAACAAGCAAGGCUGUAGUGAACCUCUUCCUUAAGGGAUUGUGGAAUGCACACAUCCCGGAAUACAGUUGGGUGAUCCAUUAAGCUAAGCAAGAGCUAUGAACAACCUAGUGACGCGGUGGCAAGCAUCGAUACGAGGAAGGUGAUAGAUCAGAUACGAUUUCCUUCAUAGGAUACUCUUUUUCCUUCGGAUUGUGGAAUGAUAGGAAGGGCCUAAUAGUAGUGAUUUAGUGCGAUGUGAGGUGCCCCGCGCGUGAGACUUUCUGAGGUUAAGAAAAUAAUAACAGGGCGGCUUUCUUAGACUCGGCUCUAUAGCACUCUUUGAGUAAGUUCGUUAACGAGGUAGCAGUUCUACACGAAUGAAAACAGACCUAUCUUCUCUUUCUUGGGCGGGGCACCAAAUUCAUGUAUCUUUACCAAUUAACCAAUUUCUUGACGCUGGGGUGGAUCCUAAAGAGAUACCACUUCCUCAUGAAUUUAUCUUGAAUCGGGACCUUUUGGCUCAACUUUAUCCUAGUUUUGCCGAAGGAGCAACCCCUUUUUUCACUUUAAAUUGGUCCAAAUACGCAGAAUUUCUGACUUUUCGCGGAGGACUAGAUCCAGUAACCGGUGGUCUCUGGCUGACCGAUAUUGCGCACCAUCAUUUAGCUAUUGCUAUUCUUUUCCUAAUCGCAGGUCAUAUGUAUAGGACCAAUUGGGGUAUUGGCCAUGGACUUAAAGAUAUUUUGGAGGCUCACAAGGGCCCAUUUACAGGACAAGGCCAUAAGGGUCUUUAUGAAAUCUUAACAACGUCAUGGCAUGCUCAAUUAUCUCUUAACCUAGCUAUGCCAGGCUCUACAACCAUUGUUGUAGCUCAUCAUAUGUAUUCUAUGCCUCCCUAUCCAUACCUAGCUACUGACUAUGGUACACAACUUUCCUUGUUCACACACCACAUGUGGAUUGGCGGAUUUCUAAUAGUCGGUGCUGCUGCACAUGCAGCAAUUUUUAUGGUAAGAGACUAUGAUCCAACUACUCGAUACAACGAUCUAUUAGAUCGCGUCCUUAGACACCGCGAUGCAAUCAUAUCCCACCUUAACUGGGUAUGUAUAUUUCUAGGUUUUCACAGUUUUGGCUUGUACAUUCAUAAUGAUACCAUGAGUGCUUUAGGCCGUCCACAAGAUAUGUUUUCGGAUACUGCCAUACAAUUACAACCUAUCUUUGCUCAAUGGGUACAAAAUAUCCAUGCUACUGCGCCUGGCGUAACAGCUCCUGGUGCAACAACAAGUACUAGCUUCACGUGGGGAGGCGGCGAGUUAGUAGCAGUAGGUGGCAAAGUGGCUUUGUUACCUAUUCCAUUAGGAACCGCAGAUUUUUGAGUCCAUCACAUUCAUGCAUUUACCAUACAUGUGACUGUAUUAAUACUUUUGAAAGGUGUUUUAUUUGCUCGGAGUUCCCGUUUGAUACCCGAUAAAGCAAAUCUAGGUUUUCGCUUCCUUGCGAUGGGCCUGGCCGAGGGGGAACAUGUCAAGUAUCCGCCUGGCAUCGAACUCUAUUUUCUGUAUGUUAAUGAAAGGUUUAGACUAAAGCGGGGUAGAGGAAUUGGUCAACUCAUCAGGCUCAUGACCUGAAGACUGCAGGUUCGAAUCCUGUCCCCGCCUAAUCACGUCAGAUACUUGUACGAGUCCUGAUCUCCUGGGAUCAGCAGACAGUCUUACUAGCGAUGAGUAAACAAAGUCGCUAGGAAAGCUAUAGAUAGGUAUCAAGGCACAACCGAACUGACAAGUAAGUUUCGAAGACUUCCACCUAUUAAUGUUCUUUUUAUUUUUUUGCUGCUCGUCUCGCCGUAAGUUAUUGACCAGUACCAAAUGUGACAACCUUCAAUUCAAGUUACAAAACCUGGAAUUUGAAACAGAAGUUAGGGUGCUUGAUGUACAAGGUUAUGAUCUUAUUUUAGGCAUUGACUGGUUGUCAAGUUUUGGUCAAAUGACAAUUGACUGGAGUAAAGGAAUGCUGAAACUCAAGCAUAAAGGCAAUCAGGAUCUUACAAGCAGGGAAACUACCUCGCAUUGCGGCCAUCAUAGUAUCCGGUAAGCCUUCUCGAAAGAAAAGGCCCCUAUGAAUACUAGUCCACUUGUCAUUCUUGGGUCCCUACUUCUCAAGAAAAGUCAACUAUCGCUUUCCCUGCUUUCAGGAACUUCCAACUAGUCACUUCAAUCGCUUUUGAUCUCUUCCAUUUCGCUUUGCUUUCCAGUUUCCUUUUACGAUCAUCAUCUCCUUCACUGAAACAUGCUUCAAACCACUCACGUUUUGGAAAAUCGAAUGUACAAUCUAUCUUCUUAUCCCGUAAGGAGCCAAUGGAGUUCGAGGUCAGGUGUUACAGACUUCUAGAACAGAGCACUGAAUACCAAGUCAAGGUGGAUACAGCAGAGAAUGCAGAUAUCUAAAGGCCGAAGCAAGUAGAUAUAGGUUAGGGUCCACUCGAUAUAUAGCACAAGGUGCAGCAAAGGGAAGAGAAUUGCCACUACUUCUUGGGUAUUGCGAUGGACCUUGUUUCAAGUUCUAAGAAGAAGAAUACUAGAUUGACUCUAGAAGAGAGAGAAGGAUAGAUAGUAUAGAUGAUAUAUGCGGCUUGUAUGUAUCAAUUGACGGGUUUAUGUUAGAGGAGAAAAAAGUAUCAAGAAGUUCUUCCACUGCUUCCAGUCGGAUAAAAAGAAAGGAAUAGGGAUCCAUACCUUUUUCUCAUGACCUGAGGGCUUCUUGUUGUUGGUUGCAUUCCACUAGCUUGCUUUCCGUCUUGCCUUUGCUACUUGAGAGAAUGCCUUUGACCGAGCAGCUCUUCCACUCAUUUUAUUAGCAAUCAAACCUCUUCCCUUCAACUCGUACCGAAGGCUAUGUCCCAGUAAGCAUUUCCUCUGUUUCCUUGUUUCCCACCUCUGACCUUCCGCUAUGACAUGACCAGUCCACUAAUAAGUCAGGUAAUCGUCCAACGCUAUGUUAACAAAUACGUGAAAGGUUUGAUUAUUCCAUACACUUGAACGCGUUCCUUAUCAAUAGGUUUCGGAGAGACGAGCAAUGAUUGCUUGACGAUCUUCACUGCAUGAGACUAGACUUGACUCAAGCUUCAUACGAAAGCAUUUACUGAACUAAAGCCGUUGAGCCAAGUCAAGCGAAAGACUUAUUCGAAGAAAGCUUUAAGAGAGUUUGUUGUCCCAUGCCUUUCUGAUGGUGAACCUCCUACUGCUUCUUCCAAUUCUGAAACUGGGAUUGGCCUGUUGACUUUGCCCUUCCUUUAGACAAAGAGCCCCCAGUUUCGCCAAAAGACCUCUGCGUGUUGUCAUUCAACUCCACACAAGCCUGUCGUUGGGCUACUUGCAUCUUCGGCAGAUACAAAGGAGAAGUGACGGUCGGUGAAAUAGCCCUCCAACUCGUAGCUCUUCUUGCUUAACGUGAAAACUCUCCUUUCCGAUGAAAAUGAGAAAGAAAGAUGUCAACUACUAAAUGUGCUGCUUUGUGAAUUUGAUACUAGGUAGUUCUCCCCCCUCGGCAGGCAAGUAGCCUUUGCGACUUACAUCUCUGCUACAGGAGGGUAUGAACCCCCGGAUCUAGGCGAGGUGAUGGCGGGGAACUCCAACAGGUUUUGGUUUCCUCCUCACUGAUUGAUGGAGCCCAAGACUGCUUGACAACUUUCGGUGUGGGGUCAGCUUGAGCCGAGGUCGUCUCGUAACAGGAACAGGAAGAAUAGCAAACAAGCACACAAGCAGGAAUAGGAAUAUUGGCUGUCACUAUCCUCUGGUUAGCAAUCAACUACGGAGCUGGCAACUCACAAGCCAGCAAGUCAACCUCUGUCAGAUCUUCGGCCCAGUUUAUGGACGAAACUGACUCUACUUCCUCAUUCAGGCUGAUAUGAACUGCAAAAGUUUUCAUCUUUAGCGUGGAUAUCGUAGGUAUAAAUGAAAGAAACUGGAAUCAGGAAGUUGUUUCUUUCUCUCGAUACGCAGAGGGGAGAGCCUGCCCUGUCUCAGGCAGUAUAUCAGUCGUUAACGAUCUUACCGGGACACAUCCAAUUGAAACUAGAAUCCCAACCUCUUUGGAAGAAGCUCCAAAUAGAAAAAAAUUCAGAGCGGGGAAUCUUCCUACAAACUAAAAUGUGUUAAAUAUAUAUAUACCUACCUCUGCCUAGAAAAACUGGAGUUUCAGGCACCCUCGUGGGAGACAUUGGAUGUUGUCAACCGGCCUUAAAAUGCUCAUAAACAGCUCUUCCCCCUUUGACUUAGUUUUCGCUCUCCUCUGUUUCUAGUAGAAAAAGCCUGAUCCUACUUUGCGAGUCCAACAGGUCUAGUAUUCUUUUCUUUUUCGUCUGAGGGAACGUGGUAGCCCUGAUCUAGCUAAGACUUGAGAUUCCAUUCUAUUUCAUUCUGAUCUCGUUAUGAGGAAAUAGGUGAGGCGAGGCUAAGACAAGAUAUGGGACUUCCCGCGCUAAGUUGUUCCAAUCUCUGUACUUAAGUAACCGAACUCGAAAGUGCUGCUAUGAGCUAGAUUUGUGCGUACAAGGGUAAAGAAGCGAGCAAGGCUACCUUUCCGCUGGAAAUCCUAUACCUGAGUGCUAUUUGAUCAGAGUGAGUUGUAAUUGAGCUUGAUUUACUUGCUCUUCUAUUUGCAUUUUUUGUUAAGUAUGUGGGUGACUCAUCGUCGUGAGAUCGGUUGGUCGAAAAUUCUUUUCAAGUAGUCUCAGUCGGCGAACUCGGCUCCACAGAAGAAGUCAGUAGUGAAUCAAAGAACUCAUGCAUGUAAUCAGUGACUAGGGAUCGAUCAAUCGGAUGCAACCGAGCCAUACAAAAAGAAUUGGAAAAGGGAUGACGCAAGAGCAGCGGAAGGUGACUUAGCAACAUCAGUCAUUUCCUAUAGAAAGGAAGGAAAGGAUCUCUCUUCUGUCUAGACGAAAGAUCUCAUUUUUGCUACCGCUCUCCCUCUUAUGAGUCUCUGUCAGCCGUUGUUUAGUAGCUUUCAACGCGAGUUCAGUCAUUCUCUUAUAUACUGAAAAGUACGAACUGACUUAAAGCACGAACAUGAAGGAAAGGCUGAAUUCGAAACAUCUUGAAUCGGAUUCUCUCUUCUCAGAGAGCUUGAGAGUGAAAUGAGUGGGCUGGCCAAAGAAGACCACUAUGGAAGUGAAAGGGGAGGGCAAGAGUGGUUCGAAGACCAUAGCCCGAUGUGGGUACAUUGGCGUCAUCGUCGUAUGAAAUUCACGCACAAAGGGCGCCGCAUCACUCUCAAUGGCAUUCAAGAUAAUCCUUCCUGCCGUCCAAUCUCUGUCCGUAAGCUGCAAGGAUUGCUGAAACGGGGUGCUGUUAGCCAGUGUGUGCAAGUGCGUCAGAUUCACCAGGAGCAUGAUCUGCAAGCAAUUACUCUGGAUGCUGAUCCUGCAGAGCAGACACCUCCAGCUGUUCAAGAACUGCUACAGGAGUUUGAUGCUUUGUUCCGGGAGCCAAAGGAAUUACCCCCUCGUCGUGCCUGUGACCACCAAAUUCCGUUGGUGCCAGGUGCAGUGCCAGUCAAUGUCCGGCCAUAUAGAUAUGCACCCCACCAGAAAACAGAGAUCGAGAAGCAAAUCUGUGAGAUGAUGAACAAUGGCAUUAUUCGUCGCAGCACGAGCCCCUUCGCUUCUCCAGUGCUCUUGGUUCGUAAGAAGGAUGGAUCCUGGCGCUUUUGAAAUAUCCUAUGCCAGUCGCGGGUUGUCCCAAGCUCAACGUAGGUUCGCAAGAGAAAAAGAGGGGGGUACCUUGUCUGUCGGUCGAAGAAGGCAACAAACAAGUGGAAGCAACCGAUGCUUUGGUCAUUCUACUCCUUGAUGCCAGUCUGUGCUUGCUGUCAUGCUGGCAAAAGCGGGGGUUUCGGCCGGCUUUACCUACUAUUGGAUUUGAACCAAUGACUCUCGCCGUAUGAAAGCGAUACUCUAACCGCUGAGUCAAGUAGGUCAAGCUGAGUCAAGUCAGAGAAAAUCGAAAAAAAGAGAAAGCCAACCAAAGCGCAACCAGAGUUCUCCGCGGGGUGGAGCGCUAAGAAAGAGAAAGCGUUAUCGCUAUACGAAAUGAAGCAGCGGCUAGCACACUAAGAUAAACCACUUGGUUUAAAAAACUGCUUAGUGGCGUGUGAUUUCAACACUAUUCCAGAGGUAUAUGACAAAAAUGGUGGGAGAGACCUCUAUGUUCCUCAGCUUAAAUCAUUCUAUGAUUGUUUACAAUUCUGUCAUCUAUUUUACAUGAGGGCUAGAGGGUGGUCUUGGAGCAAGAAAAGUGUUGAGUCCAGGCGCAUUAUGGUACGACUGAGACUGAGUUGGGCAGGAGCAAGCGGUUGGAUUGGCCUGACUCUUCAAGACCAAAGAUACUCGGCUUCCUCUUCAUCAAGUCACGAAAUUCGACCCUUAGUUAGCAGCACCAAAACUAGAGCAGGCCCAAGACAAGCAAGAACAGUCAGUCAGCACCGAUCAGGCAGGAAGCAGACAGUAAGCUAAGAAUACUGGAAGAAGGUGGUCGCUCAGCCAAAGCCCUACUUCAACCAGAACAGUAGGGAAAGCGGUAGAGGCCGCUCCGUAGCUUUGGUCGUCGCACUCUAAUCCGCUUUAGAAGAAGCAGCUAUUCUAUUGCUUGGCUAUAAAGCCUAUAAGUAAGAACUCUGGGGAAGGAAUCCGAUCUGCAGAUGAAGCAGAAGCAGGCAAAAGGCGAGCGCACAGCGAGGAAUUUUCCAUACUAGAUCGACUCAACAUUACCGAAUCUACUCUGAGACUCUCUUCUCUUCAUGGUUGGCUGUAAAAAAAGAGUCUCUUUAGUCCCCAACUCUAUGGAUUUUACUUUUUGGCUCAACACCCUGCUCUCGACGUUUGCUCGGGACGGGAGGCUAUGAAAUAGUUGAAAGCAGAUGCAACAUUAAAGAAAGUCAAUCCAGUAGCCUUAAGUCGUACCGAACACUAUGUCCUAAUAGUAAGGGAUUUCUUUCAACCCGGUGGUAAGCCGGUGGUACCCGGAGAAAACGUUGCCCGAAGGAAGGGACUAAACCCAUCUGUUCAAGUAGUAGCCAAGUAGUACCGAAGGAGUAUCUCCGAGUUAAGGAGUACCGAAGGGAAGGAAGAAAAACCAAGUGAAAGAAAGAGAUCGCAAUGGUCUAAGAUAUAGUCAGUGAACAAUAACUCAGAUCUGAUGUCGGAUCGAAACAAAAAUGCAAAAAGACAACACAAACGUAAAAGAUCGAACUCUAAUUUAGUUACUGAGUGAGAUGUUUUGCUACCUACAAAAGGUUGGUUCUUCCCCUACAACCCCUACCCCUCCAAGGCAGUACUCUUCAUCGGCAAAUCCGAAUGUCUCGAUCCGAGUUGAGACCCACCUACAGAAAUUGAUCCAUCAACGGCUUUUUCUAUAGUGGCAGGAAGUCUCCAACUCUUUGAUAUGCGCUAGCUAGGUAAUCCCUUUACUUAAUCUGAUAUGGGAUCUCUUGCUACCAGAAAGGAACUGAACUGGCUUGCCCGGAAAGAAUGGAUUGCGACCCUUGGAGAGCUAAUGGUACUGGACUGAUAGCGCACUGAUUAAACCGACCCCGGACGUACCACUGGGGAACCUGUGGCUGGAGAGAAUCUCUCGCGAUGGAGAAAUGUCAAAUGGGAAGCUCUAUGGAGGCACACAUCGUGUCGUUCGUCAUCGAAAUGGGACUGACUCGCUCGGGAACAGGCACAGGAUUGAGGAACUUUCUGGCGUAACACACCCGUAAUGGGGCAAUCUGACUAGCUGGUCAAAACCCUUUCCGCAGUGUUUAAGUGGUGCUGGAAGGAAUCAAGAGGGGAGGAGGAAAGCUGUACCAGGUGGAAGGAGAAGCCGAAGGUACUGAGCCCAAACAUCUGAAGCCAUACGGAUACUCACAUCUGCAAAAGGCUGAGACUGAGAAUUGAGGAAUUGCUGAAGAAUUCACUGAUACAAUCCUCUACUAGCCCCUUUGCUUCACCUGUGCUGUUAGUGAAGAAGAAGGAUGGGACAUGGAGGAUGUGCAUUGAAACCAGGCAGCUGAAUGCCAGUACAGUAAAGAAGAAAUACCCAAUUCCGGCACAUAGAUGCCCUAUUGGAUGAGUGGUGCUAAAUAUUACAGCAAGAUUGACUUAAGAUCUGGCUAUCAUCAGAUCAGGAUGAGAGAGGAAGACAAGCCCAAAACUUCAUUCAGAACCCUGUAACUAUGAAUUCAAUGUGAUGCGGGCUUACAAAUGCUCCUGCAACGUUUCAAGCACUCAUGAAUGAUGUGUUCAAGCCCAGAAGAUUUGUGUUGGUUUGAUGAUAUACUUCUUGACAGUAAAACACUGAAGGAGCAUCAACAGCACUUGCAGCUAACACUUUUUCUGCGGAAUCAGCUACAUGCUAAGAUGAGCAAGUGUGAGUUUUGACUUUCAAAGGCGGAAUAUUAGGGGUAAAAUGGAAAAUAAGGUGGCAGAUGCAUUUAAUAGGAGAAAGGCCGGAACAUCUGUCCAGCUGGUCCAAGGUGUGCAAACCGCUUUGUGAAGGCCGACUGAGAAUGAGGGACCUAGUAGUGUAUUUCGAAGCCUUCUAGGCAAAGCUGCUUUGGCGUGCACUGAAAGGGCGUCUUCCUUUCCUAUAUUAUACCAGAGGUGAGUGCAUAAUCUGGUGUAGAACGGAGGGGAUAUCCUAAGUUGAUGUGCACAAGUGCUUCCUCUGAUUGAAGUCGAUUGCCUCAACCAAUUUCUUAGUACAUCAACACAAGAAGUGGCCAAUUGGGGAUGGUACUACCUCAGUGAAACUAUGGGAAGAUGGGUAGGUGGGGCCUCUCAACCAAGACAUCGCGAAUCUACAUAGGUCUAGUCCAGGGGACAAAUCAAUAGGAAAUGCUAUUUGCUUCUUAAGAAGAAGAACUUUUUUGAAAUGAAAGAGUUUCCACGGGCGUCGGAUAUCAUUUCUUCAAAUAAGGAAGAAGUGUUAUCGAAGGAUUUCCUUCCAUUCUUCCUAGUAUGGAAGAAGUAAAGAAAAAGUACUGCGUCUCGAUCUAUACGAAAGGGCACUGGUUUUUUCUUUUGGUUUCAUUGAUAGCAGAAGAGUACGCUAGCUAGCGGAGCCUGAAAACGCUUGCUUGCGCCCCACCCCUACGGAAACUAUUGCCUAUGCUUGCUGCUCGCUCAGUGUCAGUAGAAGGGAAGAAAAGAUGGUCACUCCUUUUAGGAACAUGGCGAGCCUUACUUACGACUGUUGCACUUCACUCGCUGCUCGUUCAUUCACUUGCUCAUGAACUCGCUGCUUCGCCAGAAGCGACUAGUCGCCUCCUUUCCUCCGCCGAAAGAUGCUUAGCCAGAAGCGACGAAGGAGGGGAGCUGGGGAAGGCCGACGAUGGCAAUGAGGGGGAAGCUGUCGUAGAAGCUUUGCCCCUUGCUUUACAUAAAUUGUUAUGAACUUACUAAAUGACCUUAUUUAUUCUCCCGGAACGCUAGCAAAUCUAAUAGUUCCAUCUGCUCUUCUUAACUUAAGAACGAAGGCCGCCAUCCUUCUUAUUCAGGAACCCUUUGUUUGAGGAGGGCGUAUCCCCGGGAAGGGGAGAGUGGCCGAGCGGUCAAAAGCGACAGACUGUAAAUCUGUUGAAGGUUUUCUACGUAGGUUCGAAUCCUGCCUCUCCCACUUGUUGUAGACUUAAGAGAAGAGAAAGUAGGCGGAAGCCUAGGAGGGCCAACCGAGCGAAGCUCUUUUUUUUUGCCGUGCCGUGAAGUGCAAUUUUCUCGUAUGCGUUUUAGAGAGGUUGUCGAAAAAAGACGAUCUAUAGAGAUUCCCCAUCUAUAUCCAAUCGAGAAUAGAAGCGAGUCGCUUCCGGCGUCGGCUUGUAGUCUCUGCAGUCGGCACACGCACGCGCCCGCCAUCAUGCCUCCUUGGUUCGGGACGAAGCCAAGCGAGACAUACGAUAGACGAAGGAAGCGCCCACCCAGCAGGAGGGCUAAAACCUGUAGUUUUGAAGUUGCAAACUCCAGCUUCGAAGCUGGAGUGCUUUAGCCCUUUUUAAGCAAGAAUCACCGUCUUGAGCGCCUUGCGCGCUCAAGAACAAGCAAGGGAUGAGCGCUUUGUUGCUAAAGCGGAUACGUUUUCUUGCUGGGGAAGGCUAGUUUGAUCGAGGAUUGGAGAGGAGGGAGAGGUGGAAUAAAAAGCUCGGGAUGGAUUUUGGAGUCUUUGUGCGAGCCGUAUGCGGUGAGAGUCGCACGUACGGUAAGGAGGGGGGUUCGCGUCUAUACGUGUAGUGUGGUGGUUGGGCCUACCCACCCUAUUUGUUCCAUGAUCUAUGGGUCUACUGGAGCUACCCACUUCGAUCAAUUAGCCAAGAUUUUGACCGGAUACGAAAUCACUGGUGCUCGAUCUAGUGGUAUUUUUAUGGGGAUUCUUUUUAUCGCUGUAGGAUUCCUAUUCAAGAUUACUGCAGUUCCUUUUCGGGCGGCUGUAGGACGGACGGCCCCCUAUAGGUAGUAGGGUAGGGUGGGUGGUACCGCUCAGAUAGCGGCCAAUCCUCCUAACUGCGCGCGGGCCGGGCUUAGAGCGCGUGAAACUCAUCACUACCUCGUAAGGGCGUUGAGACCAUAGCAUGUUACACAAAAGCGCCGCUUUCUCAGGAGUGUUGUCACACAGCUGCCCGACUAGAAGAGCUACUCGCUCUGUAGUGUUGUCACACAAGAUAAGCACGCCGCCCGCCUGCUGGCCGGGCGAAUCGAAGUUAUCUUCCGGUCAACUGUCCACCCAGUCAAGUGCCAAAAACACAGUGGAAUCACGCAACGCACGCUGCUGGUGUGCUUCCUGCCCACGAGGAAAGAAGAGCGACAAGGUUCAGAUUUGACUGUUUGCAGCAUGGGAGCUGAUUACCCAAAAAAUCCCUGGGAAAAAAGAAAAGAUAUCUCGGUAACGAAAACCAUAGGAGGCUGUAUUGGCGAGAUCCAAGGGUUCACAGCAGCCCAAAAGAAAAACCGCCUGGAAGUCCGAGGACCUUUAGUACCGUAUCGAACCAGCAGCCUUCGCACCAAGCGACGACCGCCCUUGUCCCUUUCCUUUUUCCAUUCAGCCUACUUCUUAGCUUUGUUCCGUCAGUCUAAGGCAAAGCUUAAGUGGUUUGCCUACCUUACCCACUUGAUGAAAGGGAACGAACUUCGUUUCCUUGGCGGCUUUAUGGAUGGAUUCAGUCAGAAAAAACUCCUUCCUUUUGAAAAAAGUGACGCUUUGCGUCUUCGCUUCCGAGGGUUAGGGUAUAGGCCGUUUCGAGCAAGCUUUCGCUUUUUCUCCCGGCUUUCUACAACUUUCGCUUUAGCUUCCAAAGGCGACCCAAUGACCUUUCCGGAAUUGGAAGUAUUCGUCGCCCUACCCUAAGAAAGAAGUCACUAUAAAACUGCUUGCCCUCCAGAAGUACCAAAGGUGCGCGGAGCCCGGUGAAAAUGAAUAUGUUUGCUACUGAAAGAAGCCUGCCUAUUGACUAAUAUUCGUCUUUAGAAUGAAAGUAGCUAUGAAGCCCAAUCUACUGUCGAUUCAAAAGGGGGCAUAGUCAUAUGGGUGGGGUGUUUGUGGGGAGCUGCCUUGGAUAUGAGGAAUUCCUCCAAUCUAAAAAAAAAGAACAAAGAAAAAGUCCGUGACGAAGAUCUUUCUUUUCUAUCAAUAGAUAGGAAUGAGUGUUCGUUAUAGGGGAUAGGAUCCAUCUGCUCUCUCUCUCUCUAUUUUCUUUGAUGCAAUUUAGAGAGAAAGAGCAGUGCGAAUUAGAAAAAAAAGAGAAUCGGGAGAUGAUUCCAAAAUAGAUACAUAGACAUCUAAAGUAAAGGGAUGUAUAUAUUAUUCCUAUAUAUAUCAUCUAUCUAUGAAAAAAGUAAACAGAGUUCGUUUUUGG